AAUCUAAACCCUAAAACAUAAACUCUAAACCCUAAACGUAAACCCUAAACCCUAAAACCCUAAACUUUCAAAUCUAAACCCUAAAACAUCAACUCUAGGGUUUUAGGGUUUAGGGUUUAUGAUUUAGGGUUUAUAGUUUAGGGUUUAGAGUUUAGGGUUUAGAGUUUAAGGUUUAGGGUUUAGGGUUUAGAGUUGAUGUUUUAGGGUUUAGAGUUUACUUUUUAGGGUUUAGGGUUUAAUGUUGAUAGUUUAGGGUUUAGUGUUGAUGGUUUAGGGUUUAGGGUUUAGAGUUGAUGCUUUAGGGUUUAAAGUUGAAGGUUUAGGGUUUAGGGUUUAGAGUUGAGGUUUCGAGGUUUAGGGUUUAGAGUUGAUGUUUCAGGGUUUAGGGUUCGUAUUUCAAAAAAAAAAAUAGGGUUUAGGAUUGAUGGUUUAGGGUUUAGGGUUCGUAUUUCAAAAAAAAAAAAAGGUUUAGGAUUGAUGGUUUAGGGUUUAGAGUUGAGUUUUAGGGUUUAGGGUUUUAAUUUCGAAAUAGUAUAAUUCGAAAAAAAAAUUUUAAAAUUAUUUUUUAUUUUUCUAGAUUUUUAUUUAUUUAAAUAUUUAUUUAUUAUAUAUAUAAAGAACAAUGGCAUAAGAGUUUUUUGCCACUUAUUGAAGAAAUGUAUUUUUGAAAAUAUCAUUUUAGUGGUGGUAAAAAUGAAAAGUGGUAGCAUGAAAGCGGUAAACAUGUAAUUUCUCCUUUCCAAAUCCCCAGCCCUUGACUCUAAACCCUAAGAUUUGGAUUAGUUAACUCUAGGGGUAUAACUGUAUAUUUACUUCUUUAAUGAAACAUUUUGAUCAUUUUGAUAUUUAGAAUCUAUAUUUGUGACAUAAACUCUAAUGGGUGUUCUUCCACCGUUUCUCAAUAAUAAAAUAGGUUGAAAAAAUGAAAACCAGAUGAGAGAGGAGAGAGACGAUUGUUCAUGAAGAAAUUAUGUUGGAUCAGGAAGAGACUUUUAUUGACAAAUGUUCAAGACUUAAUGGUCAAUUUAUCUACAAGGUAAAAGAAAAAAUAAUUAUCUAACUAAAGUAUUAUUAUACUCAUUUAUGAGAGACCAAAAACGCCUCUUCCGCUGCUGAUGCUCUAAGGUAUUUCCCUUUUAUUUUUAUUUUGGACUCGCAGUUAUAAUUACUCAAUUACUACAUAGAAAAGUUGAUAUGACUAGAAUAACUUACUCAAAUGUUGUUAAUCCAAAUAUAUAUUAUAUUUUUAUUAAGUUAACUAUCAAAGUGAUUAUUAGUGUACAAAAAAAAUAUUCUCAAUUCUUUCUUUAAAUAAAAACUAUGAAAAUUACAUAAGAUGGUUAACAUAUAUAUGACAAAUUACCAAUGAUGAAUAAUACAUAUUAGAUAAAAAAAAAUAUUUUUUCUCUUUCUGUUUAAUUUUAUAUUAAUAAAAUAAAUUAAACAAUCACACUAAGCAUAUAAUAAAAAAAUUUAGUUUUUUUCUUAUAUGUUAUAUUUUGAAUUUUUUUAAACGACUAUAAAUUACUAAAAAUGGUAAAAAGUCCACAGUGAAAAAUUUGUGAUCAAUGGUUUAACUUUUUUUGUUCAAGCAAAAUACAAAUGAUCUUAAAUCGUAUGAAUAUGAAGUCUCAUUGAUAUAUAUGUCUUUUAUUAUCAGAUGGAUGUUUCUGAAGAUCAAGCUAGGGAUUACCCUCCACGACUUUACGAUGAAAUGGCUUCUAAUCUUGAAAAUAAAAACAUUAAUCACAAUGGCCGUAUGGGAGACAUCCCUCAAAUUAGAGACGCAAUAAAAAGAUGUUUGGGAUAUAACCUGAAGGAGUUUCAUGUUGUAGUAAUUGAUAAGCUAGCUGUUAGCAAAUUCAUGUGGUCUGGUAAGACUGUACACUAUCUACUAUGUAGACAACUGCUAGUAUAUAAGAAAUAUAUUUGGUGUCUCUUUGUUGAUCGAACUUUCAGGUUUAGCUUACACAAAUUUGGUGAGAUCACAAGGUUAAACACAGAUCUACUUCCAACGGAAAGUUUUGAACAUGAACCUCACCUAUACAAAGCGUUCUGAAAGGAGUUGAAUGUGUCGCUUGGGUACGGACCCAAGUUAGAUGAACUGAAGCCAGUAUUAGGUCUGUCAAAUUUGGAGUUUUGAAAAACGGAAAUGAUUAGGGUUGUUGCUUCUUCAAACCAUAGGACUUUAUGGCUUGCAUCAUAAUUCUUGAAUAGCCUUUGAAAGUGAAAAAAGAGGAUUCGAUGAUGAAGGCAUGAUGACUUAUCCCUGGGGUCGGGCUGCGUAUGAAGUUCAUGUUGAUUCUAUUAAGAUGCUGAAACCACAAGGAAAGUCGUACGCCAUUAGCGGCAUGACGAACGUGUUAUUGGUUUGGGCGUAUGAAUCUGUCACUUGCUUCAGAGAGCUUUUUGGGAAAGUAGUCGAUGAGCAAGAAAUUCUGCUUUUGUGAUGGGGUGGAAACCGUAUACGUGCAAGUCUUAGUAUUGCAAUAUCUAAGGAGAUCAGCGAUCAUGGAGAGGUAAGGUUUAAUGCUUACUUAUGAAUCAUUUAAUGUCUGAGUUAUUAUUUAUUUGAUGACUGAGUUAUGAGAUUUUGGUGGCCGAUUUAUGGGUUACGUGAUGGAUGAGUUAUGAUUUAUGUGAUGGCUGAGUUAAUAUUUAUUUGAUGGUUGAGUUAUGUCAUAUUGUUGUAGGUGCGUGUGAAGAAAAUAGUUAUGAAGGAGGAUGUAGAAGAGUUGUUUCCUCAGUUGUCGGAUGAAGCAAAUGACCAACAACUUGAUAACUUGAUAAAAGACAUACAUGCAUAUAGGUUUGUUAGAGGUUUUUGGGAUGUGCAGAAGAAUGACAACAAGAAAAAUAAUGAAGGCUGGAGUUUCGUUAGAGGCUGAACAACCCACAAAGAAGUAGAAGAAAGAUAAAAAACAAAAAGAAAUAAACAGCAGUGAGGAUGAAGAUGUUGAUGUAGAGAAGAAGAAGAAGCAGAAAGAAGUAGGAGAAUGCAAAGGGAAAGGGUGCUAGAGAGGAGAAAGGUAGGGAUGAUAUGGGGACCAAUGCGGCUCAGGGGACCAUAAUGACUAUUCUGGAUAAUGUGAAGUGAUUACAAAUAUGAAGUAAAUGAAAGUACUUUAAAAUUUUUUAUUAAGAUCCUCUUAUCAACAUGAAGUGAAUAUAAAUCAACUGAGUGUGUAUUAUUUUUUGAAUUUACAAGUUAAGACUCUUUUAUGAUCUUGAGGUAUAUAUGUUGACUUACAAUUACUUAAGACCUUACAUGCAUAUAUAAUUUGUGAGCCUAAAACCAUAUACAAUGUCCUUUCAACUGAAUGUUGUGAGUCUUCUUAUAUUUACUAGUGGAACCUAAAUCCUAAAUUAUAAACCUUAAAUCCUAAAUCAUAAUCACUAAACCAUAAACUAUGAGUUAUGAUAAGUCAGCCAUAAAGUUAUCAUAACUCAGCCAUCAAUUGUAAUUUACUCGCGACUUUCCAUAUUUUGGGCAGAAAUAAUAACUUGAAAAUUUUGUUAAUUUAAUCUCAUGACGUUUCGUCGUUCUAUAUCUCUCUCUAUAUAUAUUUCUCUUCUCUUACAACUUCUCUCACACCUUCUCUCUCUCAUCUCAUACUCUCUAGAAAAACCUAAUCUCAUCAAAAGUUAAAACCUAAUCUCAUAUGUAAUGACGGUUGUCCAUGGUUGGUUAACCAGGUGUGAGACCAGGGUGAAUGUCAUACUAAGCUCUGCGGAUCGGGAUAACCUCUCUGUUAUGAACCCUGGUCCGAGUUUGUACCAUGAUAUGACAACUUCUACGUUGUUUAAAUUUUUACAUGAUCUCUCCGAGGUGAUCCCAAAUAUUCUUUAAAAAAAAGAUGGCUUCAUGAGUCGCUGAUAUUUUUAUAAAUUGAAACACAUAUGUUAAUAUAAUUGGUUUUUAUCUUUCAUGUCAAAUAAUUAUUUAUAGUAGACAUAGUGUGAAAUAACAUAUUAUUUUCGUAUACAUAUUAUAUUACACUAUAUACGGAUGUUAUAUAUUAUUUAAUUAUUUGAAAAUUUUAAAAAUAUACUAUUAACAUAAUUUUUAUUAUGAAAAUAUUUUUAAACAAAAUUGAUUAAGAAAAAGUAUGAAUUCUUAUUUCAAUUUAAAUUAUUAAAACAAAAUGAAUGCAAAUAUUUUAGUUCAAAAUUUUCUAAAUUUUAGUUCACCUAAGAAAAAUAAGCAUAAUAAAUUGUUUAUAUACUUUUUAUAAUUAAACAUAGUUAAAAUAAAUAAAUUAUAUAAAUAAUUUUUGUAAAAAAAAAAAUUUUGAAAAGGAAUUUACAUAAAAAUUAUUAAAUUAUAAGUUAAUCAUGCGCUUUGAAAUCACGGAUCAAAAUAUAGAAAUAUUGUUUCACCCUUAAUGUAAAUUUUCUUCCCAACUAAACAAUUGUACUUGUCUUAUAUACAAAAAUAUAUAUGAAAGCAAUACUACCCAAUAUAUGGAAAGGUUUCAUAUGCUUUUGUAUAUAAGACAAAUACAAUUGUUGUUAAAAAACAAAUACAAUUAUACUAAAGGUUCAUCGUAUACUUGGUCCUUCUGCCUCUAGGAAGGAAAAAAGUUUCACCAUUUGAAAAAGAUCUACCCAUAAAUUUUUUUUGUCAAUCAUAAGAUCUUUAAUAUGUGCCAUUAAAUUGGUCUGCCAAAUUUGGCUUGUCUAUCCGGUCAACGCCAUCUCUCUCUAGCUCUGACAUCUCUCUCUCUCUCUCUCUCUCUCUCUCUCUCUCUCUCUCUCUCUCUCUCUCAUCCUUCCACGAGAUCGCUCACAUUUUUUUUAUGUAAAUGAUAAUGAUUUAUAUUAAAGAGCAAGCUUUAAAUACAUGGGUGGAUUUGGAUGACAUUGAUAAAGAUUACUAUCUAUAGAAGAAAUUCUAUAAAUUAAUACUCGAUAAAUUAAUAAAUAUUAUAAAUUAAUAAAAAAAUUCGGUCCCAAGUUAGACCGGUGUAAAAUUAAAGGUAAUUAUAUAAAAUAAUAAGAUAAUAAUAUUUACAAAAAAUUUAGAUAAAUAUAUGGUCUCAUUAAAAUUAUAAAUUAAUAACUACCACAUAUAUAAAUUUUAUAUGAACAUAUACAAAAAAAUUUAUUGAUUAUCUUUCUUCAAAAUGAAUUUCAUCUUAAGUUUAUUUUUAGUUUUAUCUAGUUACAUACAAAAGUAAAUUUAUAUUAUAUGAUAUGUAUUCAUCAUACAUAAAUAAUCUGAUGGAUUUGGAUGACAUUGAUAAUGAUUACUAUCUAUAGUAGAAAUUCUAUAAAUUAAUACUCGAUAAAUUAAUAAAUAUUGUAAAUUAAUAAAAAAAUUCGGUCCCAAGUUAGACCGGUGUAAAAUUAAAGGGAAUUAUAUAAAAUAAUAAGAUAAUAAUAUUUACAAAAAAUUUAGAUAAAUAUAUGGUCCCAUUAAAAUUAUAAAUUAAUAACUACCACAUAUAUAAACUUUAUAUGAACAUAUACAAAUUUUUUUAUUGAUUAUCUUUCUUCAAAAUGAAUUUCAUCUUAAGUUUAUUUUUAGUUUUAUCUAGUUACAUACAAAAGUAAAUUUAUAUUAUAUGAUAUGUAUUCAUCAUACAUAAAUAAUCUGAUAAAAAUAUUUAAAUUUAUAUCUAUAAACUAUAAGCAAUAUAUAAUAUUAUGAAUGAAAUAUUAUUUUCAUUUUUCUACACUAAUUUUUUGAAAAAAUAUAAAUCCAAAAUAAUGAAAUUCUCUUAAAUUAAUAACUCUAUAAAUUAAUAAAUUUUGUAGUCCUAACAAUAUUAAUUUAUGGAGUUUUUACUAUAUUUAACCGCUAAUGAAAAUUUUCUUCACAACUAAAUAAUUUUACUUGUCUUACAAAAAUAUACUAGAGCUUGACUCGCAAACCCGCAAGAGUGUUUUUUUAUUAUUUUUAUAAACAAAUAUUUUUAUUUUGUAUAAAUAGUGGUAUAUAUUUUUAACAUUUAGCUGCAUUAAAUAUUGUUUAAUGUGAUAUUUCUAAACACAUUAAUUUAUAGUUUAUAUUAAAUAAUUUUUUGGACAGUCAGUUAUAUCACCCACAUUUCUUAUCAUAUAUUUAUCGCAUUAGAUUUGCACUGGGCUAUUAUUUACUUGUAAAUAUGCGUAAAAUAAUAUAUUUAUAGAUUAUUUAUUUUAUUUAUGUGUUACAUAAAAUAAAUAUUUAUAUUUUUACAGUUUAAAUGUAUAUAAAUUUUUAUUGAUGAAAAUAAAGUAGGUUAAUCCAUUAAUUUAGUAAAUAUGAGAAACAAUUCACAAAAGCGUUAUUAUAGCCAAGUCAUCUCUUUAUCUGGUGGGUCCUAACAAGUUCUUGAUGCAACAUGAAGGUGCAACCAGGGGGAUUUCAGUUGGCACUUUGCCUUUCAGAUAUCUUGGCCUUCCGCUCACGCCAAAGGCAUGGACAAGGCUAGACUAUGAGCCUCUUAUUGACAGAAUUCGAAGUAGGUUUCUCGUCUGGUCCCAUAGAUCCUUAUCUUUUGCAUGGAGACUAAAACUAAUCAAGUCAGUUAUUACUAAUGUGAUUGAUUUUUGGUGUGCGGUUUUCAUACUACCCAAAGCUCGUCUGGAAGCUAUAGAGACCUCUGUAGUGGUUUUCUAUGGUCUGGUUCGCCGAAUGAUUAUCAUAAGGCAAAAGUUUCCUGGAAUUAUCUUUGCUUACCUAAGAGUGAAGCUGGGUUAGGCAUUCAUAAGCUCAGAGAAACUUCGAAGGUGUUUGCCUUGGGUCUGGUAUGGCGCCUCUUCUCUAUGUCUGGCUCUCUAUGGGUUGCUUGGGCUCACACUGAGCUGAUGAAGUCAGGAUCUUUUUGGGAUGUAAAAGAGUCUACAAAGGGAACUUGGUUAUGUCGUAAACUAAUAAAACUCAGACCGUUGGCCUCUUCUUUUUUGCGCAAAGAUGUCAGAAAUGGUGAAUAAAGUUAUUUCUGGUUUGAUGACUGGUUAGGGACAAGGACACUUAUUGAUGAAACUGGAGAGCUUGGACCUCAGUAUCUUGGGAUCUCUCGCCAAGCUUUAGUCUCUGAAGCAUAUGAAAAUGGAGAAUGGAAAAUGAGAAGUCGAGGUAGAAGAGUAUAUACCAAUACUUAUGAUAGGAUUGAGAGUGCACAGCGGCCAGAUGUGAAUUUGGGAAGGGAUGUUGUGUUGUGGAGACACAAUGAGGAUGGCUACAAAGAUCACUUCUCAUCUGCAAGAACCUGGGAUCAGAUAAGAAUCAGAGGUCAAGAGGUGCCUUGGCAUCAUUUGGUCUGGUACACUCAAGGCGUACCUCGUCAAGCUUUCACUGUAUGGCUGGGGUUUAGAGAUAGUCUCUCUACUAGAGUGCGUAUGAGGAGUUGGGGUAUUACUCAAGGGUGUAUGUUUUGUGGCGAAAGAGAAGAAAGCAGGAACCAUUUAUUUUUGCAUGCCUUGUGACGUACACCAUAUGGACUGCUCUCACGGUCAACCUAUUGGGAUCUUCUGCAAAUCCGGAUUGGUCUAUUAUGAUCACCUCUCUACUGAGGCCAAAUCGUACCAAGCUGGAUGCUAUUUUGCUGUGGUUGGUCUUUCACGCUUCAGUUUACUUCAUUUGGAAGGAGCGCAACUCUCGUAGGCACCAAGGAGCAUGGCUGACGACGGAGACACUGAUCAUGCAUAUUGACAAAUCCAUUCGUAAUAGGAUUGUGUCAUUGGAGUACUUAGGGAGUCAUAAGCUAGCAGGUCUACUUCAACUCGAGAUGACAUGAUUGGCAUAUAAGUUUUUAUAUCUCUUUUUGUGCGGUUAGUUAUUUUCCUUGCUACUUCCACAUUUUCUUUGUAAAUGUCCAUUCAUUUUUUGAUUAAUCAAUAUAAAAUUUAAUAUAAAAAGCGUUAUUAAAGUUAAAUAUAGAUUUCACAAAUUAUAUAUAUAUUUUUAAUUAUUUCUUGUUGAUGUAGUAAGUUAGUCAUGGUGAGAUCUACAAAGAAAUAUAUAUUACUAUUGAAAUGUUAGCAUAAAUUAAAAAAUUCAGCAUACUACAUAUCCACGACAUAAUCAAAAUCUUCUCAAAAAUAGGACGUAGCUGUAUAAUGGCGACGGCGAUUUUUUAGGGUUCGAUGGAUUCUCAAGGUUGGGAUCCCGGAGAUCUAAGGCUUCAAAGGGGCAAUCGAAAGGUUUUAAGUGGUUCUCGGAGAGUAAAUCUUCAUCUUCAUGACGGUUUCAGUGGAGGAUGGAAGCGAAAGGAGCUUAUGGAUUCUCGAAGGAUUUUAUGGAGAUCUGGAAAGUCCAGGAAAGAGAGGCAAGGCAAAUCGAAUCUGAAGGUAUCUCUGGGCCCUGAGAAUGAUUUAGAGUUGGGUAAUGAUAUGGUCGGAAAUGGGAAUCAUAGUGUAGAGGAGGAUGUAAUGGAGUUUGAUGAAACUAGGAUUGAUGUAGAGGGCAAUGAAAAGGUUAUUAGUGGUGAUGAUGAGUUCCAGAACCUCACUGAUGGAGAAGUUGAGGAACCUGAUAAUUUACAGGAGGUUUUGGACGAGACCAAGGAGGUUAUCAAUUACCUAGGGGAUGCAGGUGAUAUGGGAAUUGCCAUUGGUAAUGAGGAGAAAAAGAAUCGUUCACGCAAGAUGUUAUUCAAGAAUACGACUUUGGCGGAGGGAACAUCAAAAAACAGGUUCGUUCAGGCUGUACUCUCACCACGCAAAUGCGUUCAAGCAACGGCAGGUAAUCGACACGGAGAAGGUGUGAAACAGACGGAGGAAAAGGGUCCAUCAAACCCUAAACCUAGCUCUUUAAAACCAUAUAUAUUGUUUAUGGAUAUCAUCGGCUUUGAAGAAUAUUGGUGGGAAUGUUUGGUCAACUUUGGUGUUCUUAUUUUUGGGUUUUCAAUAAGCUCUGUGAGCAUAUCAUUUUGUAGUACUGUUGAGGCUUCUUGGCUUCAUUUUGGCCUUUUGUUUCUGGCAUAUCUUCAUGUUAGUAAUUAUGAUAUCGUGAUGUAUUGGAAUAUUUAUGGUGUUUUGGAUUCUUGGCAUUGGAAUUGGUAUGAGACACUACACUUAUUUGUUUUAAAAUGUUCAUCUGACGUGCUUAGUUGGAUCCGUGGUGAUUAUUAUGGUUGGCUUGGUAUCGAAUGGUAUACUUCUUGGUUGGCGGUGAUGGUGUUGGUAGCGAAUGGUAUGCCUCGCAAGUCUACUUUGUUUAUCUAUAUGCAUAUGGAUCGUGAUGGCUGGCCGGAGGGACUUGGUGUUUGGUCACGAACUAUCAAGUUGUGGUAUUUAUUUUGGUGUUGGGUUAAUAUGAUCUGUCUUAUUGUAUCGACAGCUGCUAGGAAUUAUAAUCUAUGGAUUUUAAUAAUACGUUUUGGUUUUCUUAUUGUAUUUGUGGAGCUGAUACAAGGGUCUGUGUACUGGAGAAAAUGGAAAUGGUGGUAUAGUCAAUAUAUCGAUACAAGAUGUUGCAGUAGUGGGCCCCGACGUAGUCGCGUAUCAUGGUGGUGGGACAAUUUUUUAAAAUUGGUUCAAGACCAUUUGGUACUGGUUUUUGGAUUGGUUCAGGACUAUUGGGUACUCUCUUUCGGAUGGGAGUUUUUGGAAUUUAAUUUGUUUAAAAUGGUUGGGUAUCUUCAAGGCCCAUUUUCUAGCUCUUGGGAGCAUGAUCAAAUUGUAAUUUUAUGAAGAUUCUAAGUUGGAAUUGUCGAGGAAUGGGGAGUCAUUGGACAAUAAGUUAUCUUCGAGAAAUUUGGCAUAAACAUAAACCUGAUUUUUUAUUUUUAUCAGAAACUAAGCAGAGUUUUGAAUUUGUACAAAAGUUUCAAUCACAUGUUGGAUAUGAUUGCUUGGUGACAGUGGAUCCUAAUGGACGGAGUGGGGGUUUAGCGCUUUUUUACAAUAAUGAAUACCAGGUUCAGAUUCUCUAUUCGAGUAAUAGGAUGAUUGAUGUAGAGGCGGUGGCACUUGGGGAAAAAAUUUAUCUUACUUUUGUGUAUGGAGAACCGGUGCAAAAAUUGAGGGAACAAGUGUGGGAACGGUUGACGAGGUAUGGGUUAUCGAGAACAGACCCUUGGUUCAUUAUUGGAGAUUUAAACGAGAUUACCGGAAAUCAUGAAAAAGAUGGAGGUUUUUUAAGAAGCGCAAGUUCUUUUGUCCCCUUCAAUGAUAUGAUUAGAAACUGUGGUUUGUUGGAGUUUCCAGCUCGGGGAAACACUUUUUCAUGGCAGGGGAGAAGGGGAAAAGGAAAGGGGGCAGUAACGAUCAGAUGUCGGCUAGAUCGGGCUCUAGCGAAUGAAGAUUGGCACACGCUUUUUCCCUGUUCUUAUACGGAGUACCUAGGGAUGGUAGCGUCUGACCAUCGGCCAGUGGUCGCUUUUUUGGAAGAUAAAGUCUACCGUAGACGAGGGCAGUUUAGGUUUGAUAAACGUUGGAUUGGACAGGAUGGCCUCAUGGAAUCGAUUGCCUCAGGCUGGCUGGAAAAUAAUGAAGGACGAACAGGGGAUGUUGUUUCAAAGAUUAGUAAUUCUCGACAUGAAAUUGCAGCAUGGCGAAAAAAUAACCCCCCUUAUGGAAAGGACAAAAUUCAGGGGCUCCAAAAAGCAUUGGAAGAGGUCCAAUCGGAUAAUAAUAGAACGCAAGAGGAGAUUUUGGAAGUAUCUAGGAAGUUAAAAGACGCUUAUAAGGAUGAGGAGGAGUAUUGGCACCAAAAGAGUCGGAAUACGUGGUAUUCAUGUGGAGACCUAAAUACUAAAUUCUAUCAUGCUUUAACAAAACAAAGACGGGUUCGAAAUAGAAUUGUGGGUCUUCACGAUGAAACUGGUAAUUGGAUAACGGAAGAAAAUGGUGUAGAAAAGGUGGCGGUGAACUAUUUUGAAGAUUUGUGUACUACUACUUCUCCUUCAGACUUUAACAAUUUUCUGGAGGAAAUAAUUCUGUCUAUUACUCCACAGAUGAAUAAUGGGCUGCUGAGGCCAGCAACGGAGGAGGAGGUUCGUCAGGCUUUGUUCCUGAUGCAUCCGGAAAAAGCCCCAGGACCGGAUGGAAUGACGGCACUUUUUUUCCAACAUGCAUGGCAUAUCAUCAAAACUGAUUUGGUUGCAAUGGUGAAUAAUUUUUUGAUCACAGGGGACAUGGAUUCAAGGUUAAAUAUUACCAAUAUUUGUAUGAUCCCGAAAACGGAAAGGCCUACAAGGAUGUCUGAGUUGAGGCCAAUUAGCUUGUGCAAUGUAGGGUACAAGAUUAUUUCGAAGGUUUUAUAUCAGCGGUUGAAAUUAUGCCUCCCACGGUUAAUAUCGGAGACACAAUCAGCAUCUGUACCAGGAAGGUUGAUUUCAGAUAAUAUUCUUAUUGCUCAGGAAAUGUUUCAUAGACUGUGGACUAAUAAGGCUUGCCAAAGUAAAUAUAUGGCGAUAAAGACAGAUAUGAGCAAAGCGUAUGAUCGGGUGGAGUGGGGUUUUAUUCAAGCGCUACUUCUCAGGAUGGGUUUUGAUCCGCAUUGGGUUAAAUUAAUUAUGGAAUGUAUAUCAUCAGUUCAAUAUCAUGUUUUGCUAAAUGGGCAGCCCCGUGGACAUAUAGUUCCUCAAAGAGGUUUACGGCAGGGGGAUCCCUUAUCCCCUUAUCUAUUUAUCAUGUGUACUGAGGCUUUGAUUGCUAAUAUUAAGAAGGCUGAAAGAGGAUAUCAUUUCACGGGAAUGAAGGUGGCAAGAGCUUGUCCUUCAAUCUCUCAUUUGUUGUUCGCAGAUGAUAGUCUCUUUUUCUGUAAGGCACAGAAGGAAGAAUGUCAUACUAUUCUUAGGAUUCUGAAGGAAUAUGAGGUGGUCUCGGGGCAACUGAUUAAUUUUCAGAAAUCUUCGAUUCAAUUUGGACAUAAGAUUGAGGAGUCCACUAGACAGGAAUUGAGAGACAUCCUUGGGAUACAAAACUUAGGAGGGAUGGGAUCAUAUUUGGGUCUGCCGGAGAGUCUUUAGGGAUCCAAGAUACAGGUUUUUGGUUUUGUCCAGGACCGUUUGAAUAACAGGGUGAAUGGGUGGACGUUUAAGUUUUUUUCAAAAGGUGGAAAGGAAGUUAUCAUUAAAUCAGUAGUCACGGCUUUGCCUAACCAUGUGAUGUCUGUUUAUCGGCUACCAAAAGCAACGGUAAAGAAAUUGACGAGUGCAGUAUCAAAAUUUUGGUGGAGCCCAGGGGGAAAUACAAGGGGUAUGCACUGGAAGUCAUGGGACAAAGUAUGUACAAACAAAGACGAAGGAGGUCUAGGCUUUAAGGACAUAACGGAUUUCAAUACAGCUAUGCUUGGAAAGCAAUUGUGGAGGCUGAUAGAGAAGCCUUCAACUCUUUUUGCUAGAGUUUUUAAAGGACGGUACUAUAGGAAUGCCUCACCCCUAGAACCGAUCCGUUCAUACUCUCCGUCGUAUGGUUGGAGGAGUAUUGUAUCUGCUAGAUCUCUGGUUAGCAAAGGACUAAUCAAAAGGGUGGGAACGGGAUCCUCUAUCUCUGUAUGGAGUGAUCCAUGGCUCCCAACCACUCGCCCGAGACCAGCAAACAAAAAUCAACAUGACACUUAUCAGGACCUCACAGUGGACUCUUUGAUAGAUCCAAUUUCACGAACUUGGAAGUCGCAAGUAAUCCGGGAUUUGGUGGAUCCCCAGGACGCUCAAAUUAUUGAAAGUAUUCCUUUGAGUAAGACUCAAUUGGUGGAUAGGAAUGGAUGGCAUUUCACAAAUAAUGGAAAAUAUUCGGUUAAAACAGGAUAUCAGCUGGAACGGGUCUAUCCGGACAAGGCAAAACCACCAGCUUUUUAUGGUCCCACAGUGGAUACUCUAAAAGCUUUCUGUUGGGAGGUGAGAUGUCCUCCGAAGCUUAAGCAUUUUUUAUGGCAAAUGGUAUCCGGAUGUAUAGCUGUUAAGAAGAAUCUGCAAGCAAGAGGAAUGAAGGGAGAUAUUUGUUGUAUUAGAUGUGGAGCUGAGGAGGAAUCAAUAAACCAUGUGUUUUUUGAGUGUCCUCCUGCCCGUCAAGUUUGGGCUUUAUCAAAGAUACCGUCUAACCCAGUCUACUUUCCCACAAGCUCACUAUUUACAAAUAUGGAUCAUCUUUUCUGGAGGGUACUUCCGAAGAUGGAAGAUCAUCAUUUUGCGUGGAUACUAUGGUAUAUUUGGAAAGGAAGGAAUAAUAAGGUCUUUAGUAAUUUGGAUAUUGACCCAAAAGAUACACUUACGCUUGCAGAAACUGAAUCAACACUUUGGGGUGAGGCCCAGGUGAUUAAGACUAAGCAGGCUCCACCACAGAAUGAGGUUUUGAAUCGGCAGCUGAGAGUUGGUCGUUGGUGUUUCAUAGAUGGUUCCUGGAAAGAUAAAGAACCUUAUUCAGGUCAAGGAUGGUAUAGCAUACUCGAGGGCUUUCAGGGAUUGAUGGGUGCAAGGAAUACUAGGGCAUGUCUUUCACCUCUUCAUGCAGAGAUGGAAGCUUUGAUAUGGGCAAUGGAAUGCAUGAGGAAUUUACAUCAGUUUCAGGUUACUUUUGCUACGGAUUGUUCUCAAUUGGUGAAGAUGGUUUCGGAACCAGAGGAAUGGCCGGCGUUUGAGAGUUACCUGCACGACAUAAAGCUACUGAAGACAUAUUUUACUAGCUCAACGAUCAUUCAUGUACCCCGGACGGAAAAUCAAAAGGUAGAUAGUCUAGCACGAUGUGCCAGAAAACAAUCGUCUUUCGUCGUUCACAUAGAUGCGGAGUUACCGGUUUGGUUCGCAGAGUCUAUAUGAGUCUGUUUGUUGAUGACAAAAAAAAAAAAAAAAGUUAGCAUAAAUUAGAAUAUGAAUAUUAUGUAAAAUGUUACCAUAUCAGAACUAUACAAAGAAAUCUAUGCAGUAUAUAUUACUAUUGGAAUUUAACAAUAUUUAUUGCCAUAUCAAGAUGUAUAGUUUAUGAAGUAUUUAUUACUAUUGAAAGUUAGCAUAAUUAGUGUAUUUAAAUACAUGGGUGGAUUUGGAUGACAUUGAUUACUAUCUAUUUUACCCAUAAUGCAAAUUCUCUUCACAGCUAAGUAAUUGUACUUGUCUUUAUGAAAGGAACACUAACCAAUAUAUGAAUAGGUAUAUCAUAUAUGUUUUUGUGUAUAAGACAAAUACAAUUAUAUAAAAGGUUCGUCAUAUAAUUGGUUAUUCUAGCUCUAGUAGGAAAAAGAAGGUUCAUCAUAUGAAGGUAAAACUACCCAUAAAAUAAACAUCUCUAAUCUGUGCCAUUAAAUUUGUCGGAGAGAGUCGAGGUGUUUAUCCGGUCAACGCCAGCUCCGACCUUUCUCAACAAACUCUAACUCUCUCUCUCUCUCUCUCUUUCUCUCUAAUUUCACUGUUUCAUCAUAUCCUUCCACGAGAUCGCUCGCCUCAGAUUCAAAGCUUCUUCUGAUUAGUUUCCGGUGAUCUCAGCCUCACUUCGAUCCCUGCAUGUAAGUCAAUCAUCCCCGAUCUUGUUUCGUCUCCACCAGAUUCACAAUGUUAUUGCUCUUAAUCAUAUGAUUCUGCAUUCACCGAUUCGUUUCAGGAGUUUGAUUACAAAAGGUUUCUAUUUUACUUCCAGAGUUUGCAUGAAUCAGCAGCUCCAACCUUAAAUUAAUUUGCGAGACUUUCCGUUUUAAAAUAAUCAAUCAGACACUUUACAAAGCAACGAUGCAGCAGGAAGAUCGAAUUGGAGGAGAUGAGUCAGAUCUAGAGUCUUUGACAAGCGCUUCUCUUAGAGACGCUCAUAGGUUCAGGGCUCAGUAUUCAGGCAUGGUGAGGCAAAGAGCUUAUAUAUUCGACGGUGAUGGCAAAUACUACAACAAAGAAUGGGAUCUCAAAGAAGGAACAGGCAAAGAGUUUUGUUGGUAUCAUGUUGAGUUGCCUAAAGGAAACCAGAAGCUCUCUCACUCCGCACAGCAUCUUAUAGACGCUCUCUGUCCUCCGUUGAAGCUCCAAGACAUUCUUUCUCUUGUUAGUAACGGACCCUUUUGCGGACAUGUUGAUGGGGCGCUUGUGUUUAGAGUUAACUCUCCUGGUCCUGCUUCAAGCAGCUUUACCUUCAAGAUUGCUGCUAGGAUCACUGAGAACUCUGUCAUUACUGUCUCUUUGGGACGUGUUCCUAGGCUAGGUUUCUCUCCUAUGGGUCAGUCUCUUCUCUCCGAAGUCCCUAGUGUGGAUUCUCCUUCCUACUAUCGCGGCGAGCAGAAGGAAAGAAGUGGGAUUGUUAUUGAGGAGCAUGUUCUUGAGUUCUUGCUGACCAUGAAUCACUCUGAGGAAGCUGAUAACCCUGUCCCAAGCUCUGUUUCGAAUCUUGUUGUUCAUAUUAUUGAUACACAUGUUGAUCAGCUUCAAGAUGUUGUCACUAAACUUGAGAUCGAAUUGGAUGCGGUGGAACUCGAGAUGGAUAGAGGUUAGUUAGCACUCUUAUCUUCUUCAACAUUAUGUGGCAGCUUGUUAGAAGGUUUUUGUGGUUUCAUAUGAAUGAUCGUCUUCUUCUUUGGACGAUAGGUGGAUUUGCUAUGAAGAAACAGAUGCUGGAUGAUAGAAGGUUCCCGAAAUUGCAUCUCAACUUGCAGCGUCUUUUGCAGGUAUGUGUCACCAAGCCUAAAGCUUAUAGAACACUCUUAUGCAUAAUCUCACUGUCUCUGCAGUAACUUUUAUUGUUUGUAUCUACUCUUGAGUUAGAACAUUUGCCUGAAUCUCAGGUUAUUGCACAUGGAGAACAAGUGUUUCCAAGAGUGAAGGAAAAAUGUUCCACGAAGCAUUGGUUUCUUGCAGAAGAUAUCAACUCUUUGGAGGAGUUGAUUGGGAGGUUGAGACGUUUAAAAGAGAAUGUAGGAUUCAUUGCGAACCGUGUGAAUGCAAUCCAAGCUGGUUUGGAUAGUUGGCAAGCUGAGCAAAUCAACCGAAAGCUCUAUUACCUCUCCUUUCUUUCCAUCAUAUUCCUUCCUCUAUCAAUCAUCACCGGAGGUUAUAUAUAAAAACUCGCCAAAAGCCUCAAUACUCUGUGUUCUAUUCAUCACACGGAACUCUACCUAACCUUUUUGUUUUUACUGUGCCAGUUUUUGGGAUGAACGUUGGAGGAGUUCCUUGGACGGGACAAAGCAAACCUGAGCUAGCUGAUGGAUUUAGAAACGUGAUGUACAUAUGUCUCAUAAUGCUGGUUGUAGUGUUGUCCUGCUUUGGUUUUCCAGCCUUAUAUAGUCGGAUUGCCUCUUGGUGGAGAAUGAGAGCUAUGAAUAGAAGUUGGUCUCUUAAUAGGAGAUCGUUCCAGAAGAGACCAAACAUAGUUCAAGAAAGAAGAGGAUAUCUUAGGCUCUAAAACCAUUAUAUGACUUCAAAGACUUGUAUUGAAAUCUUUCAUUUGCGUUUCUUUCACGUUUCUUCUUCAUUUGCAGAACAUACUACUUUUCAUCAGCUUCUUGUGUACUUUGUACUUCUUACAGAUUUUUUUUUUACUUCGCAUAUUGUUCUGCUGUUUAGAUCUUGAGUUAAACUACAAUGUACAGCUACUAUUCUUUUAAUUCUUUAUCUGUUCUUCAUUUAAAAUGUUUACUUAAAUGGCCAAACUAAUCAAUCACAAACUAGUUACAUCAUUUUUAAGUUAUACUUAUAUUUGAUUGAAUUUGAAGUAUAUAUUUGCAUUUAAAUUCAUGUUUGGCAAGUGUCUGAAGAAAAAAUGGCCAAAAAGGUAUAAAUUUUUAUAUAUUUAAUUUUUGAAGUAUGAAUGCAAAAUUAUAUUAAUAUUUUAAUAUUAAAUAUUUUAGAAUUUGAUGAACUUACACUAUAUUUUUAUGAUAUGAGAUUUUCAAAAGAUACGAUAUAAUAAAUAUUAUGUAUUUAUGUUUAUAAUUUAAAGAUUAACUAUUGGUAAAGUUUUGUGCAUAUAAUUAUAUAAAACUACAAAUAAUGAUGCUUUAAAUGUAAACAAUGCCUUCCCAAUUUUUAAGUGCAAUCUUGGUUUAUUAAUUGGGAAAUUGGUCUGAGUAGCUAUGAAAUAAAAUAUAAUUAGGUAUAUAACUAAAAAAAUUCCUUCAAUUAUUACUACAAUAUAUACUAUAUUACCCCUUCUUCUAGUUAAUACGUGCACAAACUUCUUCUUCUUCACUUACCUACCACCGUCACUUCUUCCAGUUCACUGUCAUUUUUUGAUAAAAAUAUCAAUAAUUUUGGACCUCUAUCUAUCACCAUAGUAAUUAUCAUUAUUGCUUUUAUUUAUUAACCAAUUUCCCUUAAAAACCACAAUCUCCUUGAUAUCAGUCGCUACUUCUUCCGUCGUAACUACCACCACUCGUCUGUACUGUAAGUUUCCGGCUGUACUAUGUUGUUUGAACGAUGUGUACUAUGCUAUUUCUUUGUUACUAUUUUAUUUUAUUAAUAUUUCAUAUUAUGUAUUAUGUGCAUAUUAUGAUAUUUAGGUUAUGAUUUAUAUUUCCUUUUAGGGUUUAGUGAUUAGUGUUUUGAGUUUAGUUUAUGGAAGGUUUAGAUUGACAUUGGGUUAAACAUUAUCUCUUUCCUACAAUCAUAGACAUUUCAAAAAUUGAACAAUAUGUACUAUGUUAUUUUUUUUGUUACUAUUCUAUUUUGAUAAUAUUUCAUAUUGUGUACUAUGUACAUAUUUUGAUAUUUGGGUUAUGGUUUAUAUUUUUUUUAGGAUUCAGUGAUUAUUGUUUUGGAUUUAGUUUAUGGAAGGUUUAGGUUGACGUUGGGGUAAGUAUUAUCUCAUUCCCUGCAAUCAUAGACAUUUCAAAAUUUGAACAAUAUGUACCAUGUUAUUCGUUUAUUACUAUUCUAUUUUGAUAAUGUUUUAUAUUAUAGACUAUUUACAUAUUUUGAUAUUUGAGUUAUAGUUUAUAUUUUUUAGGGUUUAGUGAUUAUUGUCUUGGGUUUAGUUUUGUUAAUUUUAGACAUACAUGGUAUAUUAAUAUAUUUAAAUCAUUUUAUAAUUUCACUAAUAUGAACUAUAUCAUUUAGCAUGUUAUAUUCUAUUUAUAUACUACCACUAUAAUCACUAUCAUCGUGGAUGCCAUAGUAACCAAUCUAGCAACACUUUUUAUUUUAUUUUUUAUUUGAAAGACAGAUGCUAUGUUAUAUCUAAUCUAUUAAAAUAGAGUCCUAUUUAAAAUUAUCAUGGCAUAAUUUUUUUGGACCUAUUGAAAAUGUCGUGACUAAAUAUAACACACACUUCAUAUCUCUCUUAUUAAUAAUGUAUAUAAUUUUCACUAAGGGUACAAUUAUCAUCUAAUUCUUAGAAUAUUCGACUGAAUUAAAGUUAACAUACCUCAUAUUUGACAAUUAUAUGAUUUAACCUACUUCAUACACGUUUUUUUUGGGACUGAUACACGUUUUUUUCCCAAUUCAGUUCUUCUGUGUUUGUGCAUCUCAUCAUCAUCUAUCAGCAAUGGCUAUUUGUUCUGUAGUGAGUAGAAAAACCCUAGACAGCUUGAAGGAGACGUCUUCAAGGUUUCUGGGUUUCCUCAGAAUCCUAUCCUUUACGCUUCCUGAUCUUAACUACGAUUACAAUACGUUGGAGCCAUCGACAGCGUCGAGAUUAUGCAGACGUAUCACCAGAAGCAUCAUCCACUAAUUACAACCAUUCCCUUGAGUAGCUGGAUCAGGCUGUGAACAAGGAGAUGCUAGCGGAAUGCCAUACAGUUAAACGGUGGAGGUUUUUUAAAUUUUUUUAAUUUUUUUUAUCUCGGCUCUGUUUUGUUCUGUUGGUUGUGGAACAAGAAGAUGCUUCCAUGGUUGUCAAGUUGCAGAAUACCAUAAAGUUAAACAGUGGAGGUGUUUUGAAUUUCUUUUAAUUGUUGAUCUCGACUAUAUUGUGUUAUAUUGGUUGGAUCUCAGAAUAGAUAAAUAUAAAAGUUACAGUCUUUUGAUCAAUCAAGUUGAGUUAAAGAAGUUUAGUUGUUAAGGUAUUUGAGUUAGUAGAGAAAUCUGGUUUUGCUGAUCAGUUUAGUUGUGGUGAGUAUAGUCUGAUAUCAAGAAGGAAUCUCUUUUAGAGCGGAUUCAAAGUUUGAUUAGUAAUGAAAGCUGGUUUAGGAGGUUCUUAAGGCUACUGAGUCUUGAGAUCAUAACCAAAUAUAUAUGAUUGAUAGUUUAAGGAAACCCAAGAAAAAAUCGAGCAGAAGUUUUGGGUUUUAUCUUUGUUCUUGAUGUUUCCCCAAGAAGCAAUGGAGAAUGAGUGUUUUUUGUGUGUAAGAGAAUGAAAGUGAUUGACUUUAUUACUAAUGUACAAGUCAUGUGAACCACUCAUUUUUGGACGAACCUUGCUGCUGUCAACAUGAGUUUGUAGUCUCUUUAUGUAUCUUCAAUUAUUGUUCUUUGCUUAAUGGUGUGUAUUUGUAACAUAUUACAGCAAGUUCGUGGAGAGCAAUCGAAGGGAGCUUUUGGUGGCGCCAUAAACACUAACUUUAGCCUCUAGAAGGUUUGGUGAAAAGAAUGAGUAUUGAAAUUACUGUUCUGCAAACAAAUCAUGAUGAGUGUUAGUAUUUAAAUUUUUAGGAUAGCAACGAGCCUAUAUCAGUAUGGAUAACUUACAAAAACAGAAAGAAUAGAGCUUCAAAAAUUAUCCUAAUCGAGUUCCUAAAGGUAGAGUACAUGUAUAGAUUUUAAAAACUCAUAAACUGAUUAGUUUAUAUUGGGCCAAUGGUUUAUAACUUUUUUUUUCAAUGGGUUAGAAAUUAAUUUUUACCCCUCUACAAAAAAUAUGAUUCUAAUAUCAAACAUUUGUUUGAUUAAUUCUAAUAAUCAAAUAACUGACCAAGUAAAAAGGCAAACAAAAAUUCAUAAAGCACAAUUCUAUUAUUUUUGUCAUAUCGAAAUAAAUCACAAUACGUAAUAACAUUUGAAAGUAAAUUAAAAAUGUAUAAAAGAAAAGUACAAUAAGUAAGAUUUUUUUUUACUUUCUUUAACUUUUAAUAUUGGUUUUCCUCUUAUUUUUCAUCAUUGAUUAUUUUUUGUAUCAAAUAUUCCAAUGAUGAGUUGAUAUUUAUAAUAGACACUGUAAGAUAGUCUAAUAAAAUUCUAAGAACCCACAAAACAACUUUGCCGACUCCUAUUUAUAGAAAGUGUAAGAUAUGGUAUACAAACACUUAUAUUAAAAUGAGUUCAAAUAUUAUUAGUGUUUUUUUGUUUGUCAUCAUAUUAUUAGUGUUAUAUACAAAGAAAUUGUUGAUGAAGCAUUAGGUGAUAUCUAAAUUAAUUUAUAUUAAUAAUUAAUUUUAUACUGUGUAAAUUAAAAUUGUCAGUACCUUUUUGUUUAUAUUUAUCUUAACAUUACCCUUUAUUCUUUUGUCUACAAUAAUAUAAAAUUAGUUAUAUCUAUACAUGUAGAGAAAUAUCAUUAUGUCCAAAUAAAAAAUAAUGUAAACCACAAAUUUGAAACAGAUUUAAUAGAUUAGAUAACAAACAUCAUGAUAAAAGCAAAAAUAGUUCUCCCCACAACAUAAACUCAAUACAUUGUAAAACAAAAAAAAACAUUAUAUAUAGCAGAAUAAUAUACAUUAAAAAUACACAAUAAUAUAAUAGUAUAGUCACACCGGUAUAUCUCAUAAACAAAUUAAUAAUAACACCAUAAAAGUGAUACUUAACCGCGCAUGGCGCGGAUAGUAUUCUAGUUCUAUUUAUAUACUACCGCUAUAAUCAAUAUCACGGUGGAUGCCAUAGUCACCACCAAUCUAACAACACUUUUUAUUUUACUUUUUAUUUAAAUGAUAGAUGUUUUUGAUGUGCUAUCACCGGUAAUUUGUAUAGAAAAAGGAUAUAACCGGAAGAAGAAAAAACGAAUACUAUCGAAUCUAAUUAUGUCAAAUCAAAUGAUAAAUUCUUAAUUUUGUCUCCGGUUAUCUCACCGAUAAGCCCUGGUUAAUUUGACACUAUAGUAAAUGUAAAUGUAGAGUGAUUUAUUUGUUUGUGGUUAAAUUACAAAAUCUGCCAUUGUCGGUGGCUCUAAUCCCGACGGGUCAUAUCAACGAGCACACACACAGUAGCACUCAUACUUCAAAUCCUCCUCCGUUGUAACCAAGACAAGUGCAUCGAUUCCUCCGGAUCUGAACCAAUGUUCGGCCGAUCUGCGCUUCACCGAGCCGGCGGUUUCCGUCCGGAGAACCUAGGUCAAAACGCACUUAACCUAAUGGGAAACAUAGGCUUCUCACUCUUCGUCGUGGGCGUACUGGUCUUCACCAUCAUCGCCGCCACAUACGAGCCGGAAGACCCUCUUUUCCACCCUUCCGACAAGAUCACCACUUUCCUCACAUCGACAUCCAACGCCACCUUGAGAUCGGACGACUCGGUCGUCAAAACCGGCGAAGAUUUCAUGGCCGUGAACCAAACGGCCUUCGCAGCGUUCAUCAACAUCACCGACGUGGAAGCCAGCGCGAACGAGGAGAACGCGGAAGGCAACCAGGUCGAUUGCGAUGCGAGCGUCCCCAUUGAUUGCAAAGACUCUGAGGUUUUCCAUCUCAUGAUGAAAGCCACCAUUGAGAGGUUCAAAGACAUUCACUUUUACAAGUUUGGUAAGCCUGCGGUUGGUGAAGGUGCCAACUCUUGUGAUAUGGCGUGGCGUUAUAGGCCUAAGGAUGGCAAGUCUGCUGCCUUUUACAAGGAUUACAGAAGGUUUGUGAUUCACAAGUCUGACAAUUGUAGUCUUAGCGUGGCGAGUAUUGGAGACUAUCAUUCUGGUUUGAACGCUAGGAAGAGGAAGAGGAAUCAGAAAGCUGGUUUUGAGAAGAGUGAUGGCAAGAGAGAUGAUUUCUCUUUGCCUCUUGUUGGUGAAGCUGUGAAUGACUCUCUUCCUACCGUUGAGUCUGACAAGGCUUUUAAAAGCGGCAAGUACUUGGUUUAUGUCGGUGGAGGUGAUAGGUGCAAGACCAUGAACCAUUUCCUUUGGAGCUUCUUGUGUGCGCUUGGUGAAGCUCAGUAUUUGAACCGGACUUUGGUCAUGGAUCUCACUCUGUGUCUCUCUUCUGUCUACACUUCCUCUGGGCAGAACGAGGAAGGCAAGGACUUUAGGUUCUACUUUGAUUUCGAGCAUUUGAAAGAAGCUGCUUCUGUCUUGGAUGAGGCUCAGUUUUGGGCAGAGUGGGGGAAGUUGCAUAACAAGAAGACUAGGUUGGGCCUUCAUCUUGUGGAGGAUUUUAGGGUCACGCCCAUGAAGCUUGCAGAUGUCAAAGAUACGUUGAUUAUGAGGAAGUUCGGGUCAGUAGAGCCUGAUAACUACUGGUACAGAGUUUGCGAAGGAGAUGCAGAAUCUGUUGUUAAAAGACCGUGGCAUCUUCUCUGGAAGUCAAGAAGGUUGAUGGAGAUCGUCUCUGCCAUUGCGUCGAGGCUAAACUGGGAUUACGAUGCAGUACAUAUCGAGAGAGGGGAGAAAGCAAGAAACACGGAGCUUUGGCCCAAUCUUGAUAAAGAUACUUCUCCGAGUGCUCUCUUGUCGACCUUGCAGGACAAAGUAGAAGAAGGAAGGAAUCUCUACAUCGCAACGAAUGAAGCGGAGCUAUCUUUCUUCAAUCCUUUGAAAGACAAAUACGCUACUCAUUUUCUUGACGAGUACAAAGAUCUGUGGGACGAGAGCAGUGAGUGGUAUUCGGAGACCACAAAGCUUAAUGGAGGCAACCCGGUCGAGUUUGAUGGUUACAUGAGAGCAUCUGUUGAUACAGAAGUGUUCUUGAGAGGGAAGAAGCAGAUUGAAACAUUCAAUGAUCUUACAAACGACUGCAAAGAUGGCGUUGGGACUUGCAACGUUGCAGCUACUUGAUCUUCCAUCUUUAGAUUCCUCACUUUGUUUGUUGUUUGAACCAACUUGUUCCACUUGUUUCUAGUUUUGUCCUUGUAGAAUAGCUUUGCCUUUUUCAUAACUGUUGUUUCGUCUUCGUUACCUUUAGACCAGUAUUCGACCUUCUGUUCCUUCUAUAGUUUGGUUCUAUAUCUUUAUAAUGCAAAACAUCAAGGAAUAAGAUACUGAUACACAAAAUCGAUUCAGUACAACUAACAACAACAGUGUCAUUUCAGACCUCUAGCAGAAGUGAUGCGAAAUUUUAAAAGAUGUUUCAUCGUCUGUGUUUACUUCCGGUCUUAUCCUUCUUCAUCGGAAUAAGAGUGAGCUUCUUCUUGCCUGAGGAGUCUGCUAUGGCGUCAGCUUUCUUGAGCAAUGAUAUGGCAACUUGAUGCGGUCUUUCGUUUACAGUCUUCUCAUCCAUGAACGGUUUAACCUCAAAGGUUCCUCUUGUGAAAUGUCUAGCAACCUACAAAAAGACAUUUGUGCCUCAGUUAAUAAUCAGACACAACCUCAUCGAUGCAUAACUUCUGGCUGAAGGAUUUGAAACUUACCUUUAAGAGAAUCCAUACUUUCAGGGCACUACUUAGGAUUGCAAGCCUCGUCCUCUUCCCCGUAGUCAAGAAGCUGGACAUAUGACUGUCCACACGCAAUAUGAAUCUUGGCCAAGACUUGGGGUUUUCCAGGUCUCCUCUUUUCUCCAUCUUUGCCUGAAACAUUUAGCUCGUCAAGACAUGGAACAAAAGAAUCUGAGGUUGUAAUGUUAAUACACUCACGAGCUGCCGACAAAUCUCUUGUUCAAUUUUUGAAAAGGAAGUCUCCAGUGCCUCCACUCUACCAGUUGCGUGACAGCAAGAACACGGUUCACUAAUCAUGAAUGUUACACUCGGCCGAACCUGUAGAAGAAAAAAGUAGAUUCACUGCAAUAAGUAUAAAUCAAGAGCUCACAUUUGUAUCAGUAUACAGUGGACGCGCUACACCAAGACACAUGAUUACAUGCUUUACAGGAAGAGUAAAAUAUCCACAAGUUGAGGGCUAUACCCUUUUUCUAGUAAUCUCCAUGAGUCCGUGUCUAGACAGCUCUGAGACUUUUACCAGUGACCUAUCUUUCUCCACUGCUUUCUUAACCUCUUCAUAAACGAGUCUUUUAUUUGCUGAAACACACAAAGGCACAAGAAUAUACAAGAGAUAAUGGAUUUUCCCAUCCACAACUUUUAAGAAUGUACUUGCACAAAUAACAAUGACGUUCAAACUCACAUUCAUCUGCCAUGUCAAUGAAAUCUACCACAAUGAUACCCCCUAUAUCUCUCAGUCGAAUCUCCCUUGCGAUCUGCAUCAUUAUUGCAUCAAGCAAUAAUUAAUAAAUGCUUUGCAAGAUUAGCAUAUUGCAAAAACUGAGAAGAUUCCAAGGAUAACUACACAAGACAAGUAGACCUCGCAAAAAAUUUUGUGAAGGCAUUCACCAAGAAUCAGAUUAUAGAUGUGUAGAAUAGAAUAAUUAUUAAGGCAAUUUUAGAAGCAGAUGUUCUGCCGUAAAGGCUUGGCAAAUGAAUAUGUAAUCCACCAGCAAAAUAUGUAUCACAUACUUGUCUGGCAGCAGUAAGGUUAACUUCCAAAAUAGCUUUCUCCUGUGAAUUACCCUGACCAAACAUUCCAUGUCCUCCGUUCACAUCAAUAGAGACCAACGCCUCAGUUUGUUCAAUCACUAACGAACCUCCAUUGGGGAGUGGGACUCUGCAUGACGGAAAAGAUCAUUUAUAUGAAGAUAUCUGGGAAGGAAAAUGUGGGUGACAUGGGUCCAUACCUUUUACUGAGAAUGCCUUCAAUCUCCUCCUCAAUGUUGUAUAAAUCAAAAAGAGGGAUACCCUUAUCAUGCAAUUCCACUCGAUCACAAAGAUCAGGUGCCAUAUCCUGCAGGUAGUUUGUGACCUGGAAACUAAUACUCGUUAGUGAAAUGGUUUGCAUACAGUAUAUACCACUUGGGUAAGCCGUUCUAGUAUAUGGGAAACGUUUAAUCACUAGCAAGUGCAGCAGUCGGUACCGAAAGAAAAAAAUGACACGUGCAGCUAGAGAUAUUUUCUUGAGCAUUUGAAAAUAACAUCAAAGAUUUGGUGUAAAUCAACAAAUGUAUGAGGGUUAUAAGACCCAUUGUUUACAACAAGGAAAUGUUUCUUUCAACACACUAUCCAUUUCUGUAUAAAUUCACUUGAGCAGAAUGGGGAAAAUGUACCUCAUGGUAUGUCCUGGGGGAGUCAACCACCAUCUUCUCAACCUAUAUUAAAUCAAAAUCUUACUAUCACUUGACAUGUCAACCAAUAGAACCUAAAGGAGCCACAGGAGGAGAAAAAUAUGGACACUAGCCUAACUACCUUGUCAUUGAAGUAGUCCUGUACAACUGAAAGUGUUUGACCCAUUGCUCUAUGUAGCAGUGCUGGAAUGGCUCCUUCCACACCUUCAUCUGCGGCAAGGGACGCAGAUUUUGCUUCUUCCGUUAUGGUCUUCCAGGUUAAAAGCAGACCUUCUAAGUCUUUCUGUAAUUCUUCUAGAGAAUGGCCAGCAGCUACAGUCCUUACAGUCAGGCCAAAACCCUGAGGCUGCAAUGUUUUUGCUAUAACUUUUAACCGGGUUCUCUCAAUUCCUGAGAUCUUUUUAGAGACUCCAAUUCGUUUGCAACGAGUCAUUAAUACCUAUAAAGACAUACUUCAGUCAGAAAAUAGAAUAAUAAUAAAAAAAUGAUAGUUACAAGACAAGACACAUGCCAUACCCAGAAUCUGCUUCUCAGUUUUGGGUAAGCAGUGAGAGUUGGACCUUUCGUACCAAGGCCCUCUUUAACAACUUGCACAAUUAUCUUGGUGCCUUUUCGAACUUGAAUCCACUUGUUAUCCCUAGACGACACAUUCUUAGGAGACUUUGCAACUGAUGCAUUAGACACAAGAGAAUCUGAAUGUUCUCUCUCCAGAGGAACGAAGCCAUUCUCAGAUCCAACGUCAAGAUGUAGCUCAUCUCCUUGAUUGCAUUUGUCAGAACCACCUUCCACUCCGCCAUGGUUAACGACAGUUCCAUUAAUUAGAGCAUCGGAGACAUGAUCUUCAUCAUUUUCAUGAUCAUCGUCAUCAUCAUGAAAAGAUUCCCCAGGGUCAUUUGAAUCAAUGUCUAAUAAACUACUUGCUUCAAAGUCAUAGGAGGCGUGUUCGGUUUCAUGUGGAGCUGGAAUGUUGGUAAUGGAGUCGAACCGAGAACCAUCAGCUGCUUGCUUCUUUGAUCCAUCACAGAAUGGAGGGAAUAUGAAUGGUUCCCUGUUUGGCUUAAUGUCCAUGAAAGAAUGUCUAGAACUUCCGAUAUUCACAAAAGCACCACCCAUAUGAGGCACAAAUUUAGUGACUACGCCCAGGUAAACACUAUCACAUUGCACGUUGGUCUUAACUGGUUCCAACAACAACUCAACCAGCUUCUCACCAUCCAAUACAGCAAUCCUUUGCACGGUACAUAUAGACGAGUUGAUCAGUAUCGUAGUAGAAAUGGGUUCUCGUUUGAAAAAUUCAUCAUCAGGUAAGAGAGUCUCAGCCGGCUGGUGAUUUUCCUCAUCAGUAUCUAAGUUGUUUUCAAUUUCUUCACUGCUUUCAACAACUUGUUCGCUAUCAGACUGCAUAUUCCUUGCAUGUUGCAAGGUAACAGGUUCCUGAAGAAACCAUGGUUCCUCAAUAGGCUGAUACUUGUCAGAAAAUAACGCACUAAAAUCUGAGUUGUCUGAUGAGAAGGUUGCAAGCUCAUCACUAAAGAAAGAUUCAUCUUCUAAUUGUUUAUCAUUCAAAAGUGGUCUUGGGACUUCCACAGCAGUGUCGGAGAAAGUGCAUUCAUCUGCCAAACCACUGGAACCAUUUGAGUUUUAAAAUAUUUUACAAAUGAUGAAAAGAGACUAAAAGAGGAGGAGCCACCCAGAUGUGUUACCUUCGCUAUGACCUGAAGUAACAGAGUUUGGUAAAAGGUGAGCAUCAUCGAUCCAAGAACCCCAUAAGUAGGAGGACUCUUGUGAUUGAGAGGAAACACUCAUCCAUGAAUCCCUUAUGAUUACUUUUCUGUCUCCAUUGACAGCCGAAGGUAGAGAUAAGGAAAACUGGGGCCCUGGUCUCCAGAUGACAUCAAAGGAAGAAUCAUAUCCAGCUUUAAAAAAAUAAUUGUACCUGAAAUUGACACCAGAAGCAAUCUGCCAAGCACAUUAAGUUAUAAGCAGACAAGACUUAUGAACACGCUUUGAAGAAAAGACUUAUGAUACAUCUCUAUUUAUGUUCCGUGUGGCUUAAAAUGAAUGGAUAUACCUUGACUUUAGCUUCCCAUUGAUUAUCAUUCCCAGUAGGAUACAUAGAAAUGGCGCAGUCUGGCUGCCAGCUACCUAAAGCGGAAGGAUCUCCAGUAACGUAGAGAUGUUCGUGGGGUGCAAGGUCAGCUUCCACGAUCCAAACAACCUCGCAUAGUCCUUUGAGAAGCCUAGCUGGCUGUUCUGAGAAUGCAGAAAACAAAAAUCUAAUUACCUGAGAGAAAUUUCGAAACUUCCAUAAACUGAAAACUGCAUAAAGAAAAGGUUUGGUCUCCUAGAGUUACCUUGUUGUGCAGCAGCUAUAGUAGCAGACCUUGCACGGAUACGAGAGACCCCAAAGCACAAGGUGAGCCUAAACCUCUGUCCACGUCCGAUAUGAGAAAACAUAUAUCUGUUGAACGACAGAGAUUCUAAGUUAGCACAAAGUAGCAUUUCUAAGUUCAUGGAGAAGCUCCUUGAGAUAAGAAUCUAAGUACAAACACAUAGUCAAUCCUUCAGAACACGCAUAGCUUUCAGAGAUGUCUAGCCUAGCCAUCACCAUAUCGAUAUACAACCAGUUUCAGGUGCAAUGUUUAAACAAUCCAACAUCUUCCCUAAAACUAAAACUCUCAGUUCAAGCUCUAAUUCUCUAAGAAAACCCAUCUCCACGGUAUAUUCAUAUAUCCAAAAGCUUCAAUUUUUAAUGAGAGCGAACUAUAGAAGGGCACAUACAAAGUGUAUGCUAGAAUGCCCCAGUGAAAGAACUUACGAAGAAACAGGAAACCCAGAAGAAACAAGCCACGAGGAGCGCGAAGAAACAUAAAAUUGAGGAAGACGGCGCCAUGGAACUUCAGCGACGUCCAUGGUGUUGUUGAGUCAGUCUCCUGGGUUCGCCGGUAUACGGAGGCCGAAACGGAGUUAAUCAGUACCGCCCGGUUUAUGAGGUGGUGAAAGAGCGAGAGAGAUGAAGAAGGGAAGGGGUUUCAGAGGAGAGAGAGCUAAGAAACUGGACUCCGGGGAGGGAGGUGAAGUGAAGCAGAUGACGAUAACGGGAGGAUAUGGUCUCUCUCCUCUUUCUCUUUGGUGGCUUUGGCGCCUUGUUGUGGCACGUGUGUUGGAUAUCAUUUCAUACGUGUGAAGCUCUCAAAGCCCAAUAACAAAUUAUUAUAUUUUUGGAUCCUUCUUUCAGGCCCAUUCUCAGCCCAACAGAUAAGCUUCUCCACUGGGUCAAGAAUUCAAUCUAUCUAUUUUUUUUUAUUAAAACAAAGUGUCUUUUAUAAUAAACUCUUAUUUCGCCUCAUAAAUAAUAAUUUCUGCCAUUACAUUUCCAUCUUUAAUAAUAGGGCAAUUUUCUCAAAUAAUAUUUUUUAAAUUUUUAUCACAAAAAUAACUCUCAAAAAAGAAAAUGACCAAAAUAGUUUUUUUUUGUUUUGAAAUUUUUAAUAUUUAAAAAAAAAAGUUGAAACCAUAUCCCCAAAACCCCACCACUUAACUCUAAACUCUAAGUCUAGAUUACAUUUUAAUAAAACUUAUUUUGGUCUUUUUCUUCAUUGAAGACUAUUUUUAUGACAAAAACUUAAAAAAGACUAUUCUAAAGAUUUUCUCUUAAUAAUAUCAGGUAAAUCAAAUCGAUUGUAUCAAAACAAAUUAUUAUUUAUAAAAAUAUACUAUCAAUUAUAUUUUUGUGCUAUGAAGCAUUUUAUAUGUUUAUUUUAUAAAAAUAAACAUUUGUGCGGAUACACGGAUCAAACUCUAUUUAUAUUUAGAGUUAUAUUAAGCUUUCUUUUAGGUUACAGAAAGAGUAGUGAAUUUAAGAUAUGAUUAGCAAGGCUUUAAAAUGGAGGUUUCAGUUUUGUUUAUAAUCAAAUAAAUUAUGUUAGAUUAUUUCCAAUUCAUUAUUAUUUUUGCAUUUACAUACUAUAAUACAUGAAAUCUAUCAUUGCUAUUUCUUUCUUUAAAAUAGAAUUUGCUAUUUUCUUUUCUAUAUUUAGAGAAAAGGCAUUCUUUUAUUUUUUAAACGAAUUUCCAUACAACUGCGUAUUUUGGUUGAUCUUGCAAAGGUGGACGUGUGGAUUAGUGCGACUAUGACAUCGAGCACGGUGUCGAUGCAUUCAUCAGCCACAUGUCUUUCCAAACAAGAAUUUGACUCCGCCUCCCGUUUUUUUAUCAAACAUAACUUUCAUUUAAAGGAAAUAGUUAUACACUCCCAACAGAAGAGGUAAGUACAAUAGCACUAGCAAGAGCGAUUUGAAUUCAUAUUUACAAUUGUGACUAUGAUAUCACUUUGAAUUCUACUAAAUAAAUCAAGGAAUGGUAGUUUAGCGGUAAUUUCUUGGAAUUUAGGGUGCAUCCGCAUUGGUCAUCAGGUUGAUUUCUACUAAAUUAUCAUUAUUUAAUUAGUCUGGGUAUAGAUUUCCGUCUAGGUGGUUAACAUGGUGAAAUGUAAUAGAUGAUCGGUCUAUUUCCUAACAUUAGUUGGAAAACAUUUCAAAUUCGGAUCAGACAGUGUGGUAACCAGUCCACUAUAUAACACUAAAAAAAAUCUACUAAUAUUGCGUAUGGUUGCUCGGUCGUUCUGGACCACUUAGGGACAGCAAAAUAUAGGGAUCAUCAACACUUGGCACUAACUUCUUUAGGCUAGAAGGUGAAGCUAAAGCUCUCAGAUCUGUUGGAUAAAUGGUUUUUGAUAUAUUAUUUUUGAAGGAGAUUAAAAAUGUUAAAUGGGAUCAUCAAUAACCAAGCAUAUCACUGUUGCUACUCUGGUUCGGGAAUCAGGGUAGACAGUUUUGGGAUUCGAAAUUUCACUAAACUACAUAUGCAUAUCCUCCUUGAGAAAACAAUGUCACUGCUCAUACGAUAGAAAACCAUAGAGCCGACCAUUUCUGUUUUUCUAAUGACUUUCUUUAUUCCACUCGGUGGCUUGCACAUUUAGGAUUUAACCGGUGACCAAAGAAUGAAAGAAAAUAAUGCAUUUUUUACUAUUUCUAAAUUUUUUUAUCAUUUACGAGAAAUUGUUUUUCUUCUGCAUUCCUUCUCAUUUCUUUUAUUUUAGAGAAAUAUAAAACAAAUUUGUUUCUCACUAAAAUUGAUAAGGAAUCAUUUUCCUUUUCAUUCCUCUAAUAUUAUUUAUCUGCAUUUUUUUCCUACUCAUUCCUAAUGUUCUUGUAAUUUUCACCGGUUAGAUCCUUACUAUAUUCAGAUAUUGCAUAUUUGUUGUAUUAAUGAAAUUCUAACUUUCCCGGACAAAUAGCAUUUGUUAUUACAAUCAUAUUUUUCAUUUUAAAAAUAAUCUUUUAACUUUUAGCAUUUUCUGAUUAUAAAUAAACUACGUUUGGAGAAAUACAAUUUUUUUAUACAAAAGAAACAUCUUUUGUUUACAUAAUAAUUCUUUAAUAGGGAUUUUUUAAAACAAUUUACAAUCAUAACUAAAAAAUAAAAAUAAACUUAUUUGAAAGUUAAAAUUUUUUAUUUAAAGAGUGAAUCUUAUAAUUUAUAUUUAACACUAAAUUAUUAUUUUUAACUAAAUUUCAAAAAAUUCAUAUGGCUUUUACUUAUAAAUAAUUUUGAGCCAAAUACUUAAAUUGAUCAUUUCGUGAAAUAUAUAGUAAUAUUGAUGGUUAGAUAAUGUCUAUUUUUUAUAAUGUAUCUUUUAUUUUAUAAAUGUUUAGUUUAGUUAAUUUUACAAUUUUAUGAAAAUCUUCAAGAAAUUAAAGCGAAUGAAAUUAAUUUUCUAAAAUUUUAAUUAAAAGGUGUUAGUUGUAAAAUUAAAAAAAAACUAUUAGAAAUUAGAGAAAAAAAAUGGAGGAAUACAUUUGAGAAAAACACAUCUCUAUUUUGCUUUAUUUUAGAGAAAAAAGGAAUACACCGAAAAUGGUCUUAGUUUUGAUUUGAAAUCAAUGAAGUAAAUUGGACGACAAAUUUAUAACUAAACGCAAUGAUUUUAAAUUUUAGAACAGAUUUAAACAACUUUGUUUCUUAGCGUUUUUGUUAUAUUUAUUAAUUUCUAUAUAUUAUAACUAUUAUGUAAGUUUGAUUUUGAAUUUAGCCAUGUUUCUAUAAAUGUUUGGCAAGUAUUCACUUAACCUUGAGGUUGGUCAGUUUCCAUGGUAAGGAUGAGUUCUCAAAAACCAUCACAAAUAAAGCAUAAGCCCAAAAGUACAAAGCAUAAGCAUAUACCAUUAUGCCACUACAACCAAGUGACUUCUGCAAUGAUAAACUGGAGUUAGAAGUUUCAAAAACAUACAUAUUCUGCUAAUUAAAUAAUGAUAGUAUCAAUGAUCAUAUAUUUAGUUGAGUGUACAAUUUAGUGUGGAAUCUAUGAAAUUGUUUGUUGGUGUGUUUCCUCAACGUUUGGUUUGUGUUCCCUCUACGUUUUGUUUGGGCCAUCCAAUGAUCCAAACCUAGUUAAACAAAUAUUUAGUUCCGAACAUUAUCAUUAGCUUCCGUUCGAAAGUUUUGUAAAGCGGUUAGCUUAAUGGUUAGCACCCUUAUUUGUUUUGAUAACGUCGGGACCCAUGUGGAGCGUUGUAGUAUUCUUACAAAUACAUUAUAGAUGUAGAAAAUGCCAAACUACAAUUUGGCGUCUACAUCAAAAUAAUUCAAAAGGAGGAGGAAGUAGACAGAUGAGUAGAUAAAAAAAAACAAAUCAUGGAACAUGAAGGCCGCAGUACCUAUGGGGGCCAAGAGAGGACACAUGGCCAACGCGAGGUUUACUCAAUACAAUGUAACUAAUGUUUCGUGCCAUGUUUCUUCUUGCAGAUUAGGAAAACGACAAAAUCAAUUUAAAACCACUUUAUUUUCGAAUCAAUUCCAUAGCCCUUAAUUAUGUCGGUUUUUUGUAUGACAAUUUUGUAGAAUCUAAUGUUAGUUUAAGCUAAAAAUAAUACUUAAUAAAAUUUGGUUCGUAUCUUUUGUGAUGUUCUCAUAAAUUGCGAUUAGCAGUAGCUCUCCACGAUACCUACUACCCUUCAAUUUAAUAGUUAUAAACAAAUUAAUACAGCCAGUGGCCACCAAACUCAGAGAAAUUUUAAAAGGAGUUUUAAACGUUUCGAAUGCGUAACUCAUUAGUAUAGCAUAGGAGAGUUGAAUUCAAGAUUGAGCACUGAACAAUUUAAACGUGCAUAUUUGGGUAAAAAUGAUAGAUUCGAUUGUUGAACAAUAUAUUAAACUGGAUUCUUAUGAUUUCAAACUUUGGUGUAGUUUGGUUACGUGUGUUAUACUUUUUGUUUUUUUUUUUAGUUUGUGUUUAGUUUUUUUUUUCUUGUAGCUUGUUUUUACUUUGUCAUUAAGUUUUGAUGCAGCGCAUUGUCGUUGGUUUGCUGUCCGGUUUCAUAACAGAACCGGAUCGUUUUAUUAUGCUUUGGUGUUAAGAUUCUAGUUUAUCUUUAGGAUAUUUCCUUUUCUUUUGGAGUAGAUAACUCCUAGCUAGAUUAAAAAAUAUAAAAAAAAAAAAAAAAAGAGAUAACUCCUAGCUUAGUCGGUUUUAGGAUUAGUUUUAUCUCUUUAUAUAGUUUGCAACCUCUGAUAUAAAUCUCACGCUUUAAAGAAUAAUCAAAAGAACUUUUAGUUCAUCUUUCUCUUUGACUUUCGGUUAUUCUCAUUGAAUCAACGAAACUCAAAGCUCAGUUGACGUUCGGGCAUUCUUAAGAGUAAACGAACUUCUUCUGCAACACUUGUGCUGCGCCAGUUUUGGUAUCAGAGCAAGAACGUUCCGGACAGAAAUUUUUUUUCUCAGCAAUCGCUUUUCAAAUCAUUCAAUGGCACCGAGAUGCACGAACGCAGAUCAACCAAUGAAUAAGUGGGAAGAGAUGAGGAGAACUCUUGUAACCAUGCAGGAAAACAUUCAACUUACAAUUCAGAACUUGUUUCGCGAGUUUGCGGAAACGGUUCACCUUCGAGAUCGUGAUCACAAUAGGAGAAGACAACCGUCAGAGGAUGACUUAACCGAAGUGGAAGAUAACCCUUUUGCAGAGGAAGAGCAUCGUCGACACAUGAUUGACUUCCAGGACCAUGGUCAUGCUGAUCGAAAUUGGGAGAUGGGUUUUAAAGUGGAACUACCUGAGUUUCACGGAAGAGUACGUGGAGAAGAAUUUUUGGAUUGGCUCGUCGCUGUGCAGGAGAUGCUUGAAUUUAAGUGUGUUCCUGAAAACCGCAAGGUGGCCUUAGUUGCGACGAAAUUCCAGGGCAAAGCAGCGUCCUGGUGGUUGCAAGUAAAGACUUCUCGAGCUCGAGCGGGGAAACGUAACAUCGAUACGUGGGAAAAACUUGAGAAAGUGAUGAGGAAAGCGUUUCUUCCUUAUAAUUUUGAUCGAACGAUGUUUGCCCGUUUACAAAACCUUCGCAAAGGUUCUCGUUCUGUAGAUGAUUACGUAGACGAAUUUUCUUUGUUAUUAACAAGAAACGACAUCCUUGAUAGCGAAGUCCAGCUGGUCUCGCGUUUUAUUGGAGGCUUACGUCCUCAGCUUCAAAACGCUAUGUCUCAGUUCGAUCCUAUCACAGUUGCAGAAGCUCAUAGGCGCGCAAUAGCAUUUGAAACACAAUUCAAAAUGUCAGCUUCCGCAUGGUCGAAUUCGACGCGUGCGCGAGCAACUAUUGCCCCAGCUGACUCAAACCAGGCUGGUGCUAGCAAUAAAGAGGCUGCAGAGCAAGCGGGAGCACGAGCUGAUAACACUACACGAGUUCCUGCAGCAACUGAUGAACUCCGACGAUCUUCCCAGCCUAAUGCCUUGCGUUGUUUCACCUGUGGAGAGACAGGUCACAGGCAGACUGCUUGUCCGAAGGCAACUCGUCGGGGACUUCUAGUUGAUGAUGUCAAAUGGGAUGACGACGGAACAGAACAAACAGAGGAUGUUCUUGAUGUCGAGCUGGAGGAACGAAACGAAGGGGAUCGCGGCACGUUGCUGAUGUUACGCCGUGUCUGUCUCACGCCUAUGAGACAUGAUGACCAAUCGUGGCUGCGUACCAACAUCUUCAUGUCUACCUGCACCAUCAAGGGGAGAGUGUGUCGUUAUGUGAUAGAUUCUGGCAGCUGCCGCAACGUCAUCUCUGAGGACGCGGUGAAUAAGCUUGGUCUGCGUCGUUCUGAUCAUUCAUCUCCAUACAAGCUAGUUUGGCUACGCCAGGGAUCAGAAAUACGAGUCACCCAUUGGGUCUUGGUUUCAUUAUCCAUAGGGAACCACUACAAAGACAAAAUAUAUUGCGAUGUGGUGCCAAUGGAUGUGAGUCACAUUUUGUUGGGCAGGCCGUGGCAAUAUGAUCGAGACGUUUCACAUAGUGGCAAGACCAACGUCUACAGUUUCUUCUUUGAGAACAAACGUAUUGUGCUUCUCCCGCAACACAAUCUCGCGCCGCCACCAGCCCCGGCUCCUGCCGUUGCUCCGCCUCUACUGGAAGGGACGGGUUCGUGUAACACAAUGUUGUUUUGUUCUUAUGGGGCGUUCUCUCAGGAGUUUGAGGAAGAAAAAUUUGUCUUGGCCGUAGUAGAAGCGCCUUCAGCGACACCGGCAACAUCAAGUAUCCAUCCAGCCAUCAGUAAACUUUUAGACGAGUUUGCCGAUGUCUUUCCUCAGGACCUGCCAUUGGGACUGCCUCCCCUGCGAGAUAUACAACACAACAUUGAUCUCGUCCCAGGCGCGUCGUUGCAGAACAUACCACACUACCGCAUGAGUCCGCAGGAGCAUGAAGAAUUGCGGAAACAGGUGGAAUCAUUACUUUCCAAAGGCCAUAUCCACGAAAGCCUCAGUCCGUGUGCUGUGCCAGCUUUAUUGAUCCCUAAGAAAGAUGGGACUUGGAAGAUGUGUGUGGACAGUAGGGCGAUCAAUAAGAUUACGGUGCGAUAUAGGUUUCCGAUUCCACGCCUGGAUGACUUAUUGGAUCAGAUCGGGGCCGCCAACAUUUUCUCUAAACUUGACCUCAAGAGUGGCUAUCACCAGAUUCGAAUCCGCCCCGGAGAUGAGUGAAAAACGGCCUUCAAAACGCGAGAGGGACUUUUCGAAUGGCUUGUAAUGCCGUUCGGCCUCUCCAAUGCGCCUAGCACUUUCAUGCGCAUCAUGAACCAAGCCAUGCGACCAUUCAUAGGAAAGUUUGUGGUUGUCUACUUUGACGACAUUCUAGUGUUCAGCAACGCCAUCGACAAUCACAUUGAGCACCUGCGUCAAGUUCUUAAUGUCCUUAAACAUGAGAAUCUUUUUGUAGCCAGACAAAAGUGUGAGUGGGGAGCUGAUUCGGUAUUAUUUCUUGGCUAUGUGGUGUCCAGCAAAGGCCUGUCGAUGGAUACAAGCAAGAUAGCAGCAAUUUAUGACUGGCAUGUUCCUCGUACUAUCACUAAAGUACGCAGCUUUCAUGGGCUUGCGUCGUUUUAUAGACGGUUCGUGGCACAUUUUGGCACUAUCAUGGCAUCAGUUACCGAGUGUAUGAAGGGUGUGCAGUUCGUAUGGACAAAGCAAGCUGGAGAGGCUUUCGUGUUAAUCAAGGAAAAGCUCACAUCAGCGCCCGUUUUGAUCCUUCCGAAUUUUUCCCAGUCCUUUGAGUUGCACUGCGAUGCAUCGAAGAUGGGCAUUGGCGCCGUUUUAAGCCAGGAGUCGCAUCCUAUGGCUUUCUUUAGUGAGAAACUCGCAGGUGCACGGAGCAGAUACAGUACGUACGAUGUUGAGUUCUACGCGGUGGUUCAGUCGAUACGUCACUGGCGUCACUAUCUGGUCCAUAGAGAUUUUGUGUUGCUUACUGAUCAUGAUGCUCUGAAACACUUGGAUAGUCAGAACAAAGUCUCAGCUAGGCACGCGGGGUGGAUCGCUUAUUUGCAGCAAUUCACAUUUACCAUACGACACAAGUCGGGAAAGUUGAAUCGCGUGGCUGACGCGUUGAGUCGCUGUCAUAGCCUCUUGACUACGUUACACACUUCAGUUACGGGGUUCGCUUCUUUUGCGGAUUUGUACGAGUCUGAUCCAUUUUUUGGCAAGGUCAUCGUGGAGGUUCGCGCUCAGCUUCGUGAUGAUUUUAAACUCAUCGAUGGAUUCUUGUUUCGAGGCCAGCAACUGUGCAUUCCUGACUGUAGCUUCAUGUUGCGUGUGAUAGAUGAGUUACACAAGGAGGACCAUGUUGGUCGUGAUCGUACUCUGCAAUUGGUAACGUCAUCAUACUAUUGGCCUUCAGUUCGUCGUGAUGUCGAGCGUUAUGUGCAGAGGUGUCGUUCUUGUCAGAUGGCGAAAGGACAGGCGUCGAAUACGGGGUUGUACCUUCCCUUGCCCAUUCCUACACAGCCAUGGACUGACUUGAGCAUGGACUUCGUUUUGGGUUUGCCUCGAACUCAGAGGGGGAGCGACUCGAUAUUUUUUUUGGUCGAUAGGUUUUCGAAGAUGGUACAUUUUGUUCCUUGUAAACGUACUACGGAUGCGGUGCUAGUCGCUCAGUUGUUCUUUAGGGAGAUCUACCGUCUGCAUGGGCUUCCAUAGUCCAUAGUCUCUGAUAGGGAUACACGGUUUCUCAGUCAUUUUUGGAGGUCAUUAACCCAAAUGCGUACCGUUUGGAGUUACCUGAUCAUAUCAAGACAGCAAAUGUAUUCAACGUCAAGUACCUCACGAAGUUUGCAGGGGAUAACACCGAUAAAGAUUCAGAGGCGAAUAUUCUCCUACCCGGAGAGACCUGAUGCAGCGCAUUGUCGUUGGUUUGCUGUCCGGUUUCAUAACAGAACCAGAUCGUUUUAUUAUCUGCUUUGGUGUUAAGAUUCUAGUUUAUCUUUAAGAUAUUUCCUUUUCUUUUGGAGUAGAUAACUCCUAGCUUAGUCGGUUUUAGGAUUAGUUUUAUCUCUUUAUAUAGUUUGCAACCUCUGAUGUAAAUCUCACGCUUUAAAGAAUAAUCAAAAGAACUUUCAGUUCAUCUUUCUCUUUGACUUUCGGUUAUUCUCAUUGAAUCAACGAAACUCAAAGCUCAGUUGACGUUCGGGCAUUCUUAAGACUAAACGAACUUCUUCUGCAGCACUUGUGUUGCGCCAAGUUUACAUAAUGUUGCGGUUGAGUCUAGAUGUUUUAGUUAUUUAGUGUUGCUCUUUUUCUUUAAAUUGCAGAUGACACAAAUUUUAGCGCAUCACAUCCACAUACAUUAGACUACUCUUAUUACUAUACAUUGUAUGUUGAAAGAUUCUCUUUCUCUUUCAUCCUCUCUCUCAAAACUCUCCUCGCCGGGAAAAGUGUUCUAUCUUCGGCCCGGUUUUUGCCGGUGCCGGAGCCCCUCUCUUCACCCUUUAUCUCGUUUUCUCUUUGCCUCUUCAUCUGUUCUCCUCUGAGUCGAUAUGCAGGCUGCUCUGAAUCUGUCAAGUCCAUGCUGGAACCGUUGCGGUCGAGGUUGGUCUUGGUGGCGGUUUUAGAGGAGCCGCGAGACUACAGAGCUACGGAAAGAGGAAAGGUCGGCUUUUAGGACUGGAUUUGGACGCCGGAUCUGGUUUUCCAUUUUUUAGAUCUCCGGUGCUCCUUCCACGGCGGCGAUGCGUGACUCAGUGGGUCACCUCCUACACCACCGAUCUACCCUCGUGUGUGGCGGUGUAAGAACAGAGGAGUGGUGCAAAGUUUCGGCGGAAAGGGUCUCGUUCUCCAGUUCUCGGAGUCGGUGCGUCGGAAGGCUCCAUGUCCUCGGAGUUGUCAACCGGUGAUGUGUGCAUUGCCUUGGUACGCAGUGAGGCUCUACAUCCUAGCGUCGGCUGUCAUCCCUCCGGUGGUGGUGUCACACACCCUCAUACGUCAUGAAUUGCUGUUCCGGUCACGUUACCAUCGUCAAGGUCCGAAUUUUUCAGUACGGAGCCAUUCCGUCUUUCAGGCUAUAGGAGCGAGGCAGUGGCCCUGAUGAAGCUGAAGCAAGUCACAUAUUUUUACCAUUCGGUGUCGAUGCUUUUGUCUGUGUGCUGAACUCAAAUUAUUGGAGAUAAAAGCUUGAGCUUUGAUUAGAUUUGUGACUUUGAUUAAGUAUCUCAGUCUCAUUGCUUUCGUUUAUUAUGGUCAAUGUAGGUGUGGUUAAGAGACAACUCUUUCUGGGUCUUACGAAGAGUUUGUUCUCAUGGGUUAAAAUUACAGCAAAGGUUCAGUUCAGGUAGCUUGGGAUCCAAUCUAGUGAUGCUAAGUGAUACUAGAAUUCUUUGUCUGUAAAAGUGGUUGAAUCCUUGUGGUGAAAUCAUGUAGUCCCAAGUUUGGUUAAUAUAAAGUUGAUGAUGAGUUAAAAAAAAAGACGAUUCCUAUUACUUCACCAACUCUAUUUUUGGAAUAGCUUGAUAACUAUAAUUUGUAGUUCACAUAAUAUUCAAUAGCGGUCAUGAGACAAAAAAGAAAAAAAAACAGUCACCUUUUUUUUUUAACUUUUAGCAAGUAUAUCGGCAUAUGUCAUGUUUAGACCUCAUAUUUACAAAAAUGAAAGUUUUUUUAUAAAAAAAUUUCGUAUUGAAUUUUUUUUCAAAAUACAAAUAAUUGGACAAGAUAAAUAAAAGCUCAACAUCUCAAUCCAUUAACAAUCAGAUCGUUCCGAAUCAAGUAUAUACCGGACAGAAGACAAAAGUAGAAGAAAGUAUCAAGGAAUUCGCCGAAGCAUGCCAAAGACCGCCAUGUCUGCUAAAACACUCACCACCAUGACCACCAAGAAAUGUCGAGCCAAAAACAGAAAAAUUGCUACCACCGGGAAGCUAACACCGACCUUAACCGAGUCAAAAAGACCACCAGAGCCAUAGAUGACCACCGGGAAAAUAAGAUAGGGAGACCGACGAUCUGAAAGCAUGAAAAGAAACAAGAGAACGCAAAGGACUCAGAGAUGUCAAACCAGAUCUAAUCGAUUUUUCGGUUCGGAGUCGGUAAAUGGAUAUACCAAAACCACACCCCAACGAUUGGCUCUCUUCCACCGCCACUAGAGUAAAUUCUAACCCUCAGUACAGGAAAUGUGGGUAGUAAUAGCGGACGGAAAACGCUAUGAGUAAUGUAUAAUAGCAUUUCCUUGUCUGCUCUGACAGUGCUCGUUAUAAUAGGUCCGAUCCUUUUAAUAACGGUUUUUCUUUGUGUUAUAAUUAAGCGUACAACAAUAGCGCGUUUAUGUUCGCAAUUGUUAAUAUUUAUAAUAACGUUAUACAAAUGUUAUUAAAACUUAAUAAUUUGAUUUUCCCAAUAACAAAGAUAGCAAAUGUUUUGUGUUAUUAAUUAGUUUUUAAAUAAUCUAAAAAUUUAUUAAUAAUAAUUAUGAAUUGAUUUUUUUGUGAUAAUUAAUUCAAAAAUAUGUAAUAAAAAGAAUUUAAAAUUAUUUAAAUCAGUUCACAAAUAAAAUCAAUUUUACAAAACUAAACCAGUACAUAUUAAAAAAGACUAAUUAAAACACAUUAAACCAAAAUCUAAUUAACCCUAAACCUAAACCUAAGCCGCCGCCUUCCUCAAGCUCCUUGUUUCACUUCGACCUUCCUCAAGGUUCAUCUGUCUCUUCCACUUUCCUCAAGCUUCCGCAGUAUCUGAAAAGCACACAAAACAAGUGUUGGUAAAUACAAUGAUUUGAGGACAUACACCCAUACUUAAGACUGGAACCAAUCAGUACAAGAUAACUUAUCUCAACACCCAUACUUAAGCACGAUUGUCUUAAAGUCUGUCGUAUAGAGCAAUGUUUUAGCUGUAUAAACCUUCAAGGCAAUGAAUCAACAGACAUAAGCAAAGAAGAAGAAAGUCUCAGUCUUUACUGUCACAAUACCUUCAAAUGCUGCACUUGGCAUUCCAGUGAGAGACUGCAACAUUCGUGUGAGUCUAGACGGAGACAAGUUCGAGACAUCUCCUCUGCACAACACCAGCUCUUGCUCACGAGUCACGACCACCACCUUUACCAGGAACAAAAAAAUAUAUUGAUAAGCCUUCGUUGGAUGAAAGAAGUAGAAAUAUGUAAACUUGGUCUUUCAGUGAACCAAAUGGUCUCUAACUGAAAUUAAAACAAGCAGAGCACAUUUCAAUAAUCAAGAUGAGUCUCUUACGAGCAUGUAAUGAACAAACACAUGAAAAUUACAGAAUGAUGAAAACAAAUCAGACAAGCUAAAACAAUACCUUGCAAACGUUGGGACAUAGUUUUGGCAGAGUCAUCCCUCUUGGAUUUCUGCAACACACAUAACUAAAGAAACGAACUUUAACUUCAAAUCAAACCAUAUAAAGCAUAAAACUUUACUUCUCCUUAUCAAUGACCACUUUUUUACGAACAAGCUUCCUGUAACAAGAACAAAAAAACACAGAGAGAAUGAGAGACAUAGAGUGAGAGACAGAGAAGUGAUCAGUCGUGGUUAUGACGAGCGUGACGGUGGUGGUGGCGACUCCAGUGAAGACGGAUCUGAGAAGCUAUGGUGGUGGUGACGAGCGAUUGGGGAUGGGAGAGAUGGCGAUGGUGGUGAUGGUAACGAGCGAUGGUGGUGGUGACGACGCGUCGCGUCGCGUCGCGUCUUCUCCUUUCUCUACCAUCUAGGAACUCCAUCUUCUCUCUCUCUCUCGUUUCUCUGACUCGUAGAUCUCAGAAAAAAAUAAUUAGAAAAGAAUAAAAGAAUAAUUAAUCUCAAGCGUCGAUUCAAUAUCAUCCAAGGGUGUAGAAGAUGAUCCGUGUCAUUAAAAACAAGUAAACCAAUAGGAACAAAAUGUGAAAAAAGACACAAGAAUCAUUUUGGACCUUUGAUCCAAAUCAAUCAAUGGUUCAAAAAAAAACAAUACAGAUUGUAUUUUUAUUUAUCUAUAACUAUUAUAAAAAUCAUCUAAGCUUUAAAUACUUUAGUAUCAUAACUUAAAACUUGAAAUCUAAAUUUUGUGCCAUAGUAAAUAUAGCGUUUUAAUCGAUAAACGCUAUAACAAAAAUAAAUGUUCGUAUACAAUAGCAUAAUUGUCAUAAACGCUAUCAUCUAAUGCUACUAAUACCCACAUUUCCUGUAGUGCCUAGUGCCGUCCUCAAAACGAGCAAGAAACCAAGGUGGAAGACCCCAUUGGUUCAGAUCUAAUACCACCUUCACCACAACGUCACACCUUCAUCUCAGAAAGUCUCCACCACCUCACUGGAAGAACUGAAUCCGCACACACCGAUGUGGAUCUACGAAACCAAAAAUGGGAAAUUUGAGGAUCGUGACCCAGAUCUGCCUCUACAGAGCCCAUCCACAAAAUUUUGAACAGCCACAACCACCAAAAACCACCAUGCAGCCUCUGAAGCCUCAGAUCUCACCACUCCAAUUGAAAACAUCAAAAUCAAACCUUGAAAUGAAGCACAAGGGAAGAUAAACAAAAAAUAAACAAAAAAUAAUUCUUUGCGUUGAAACCAACACCAAAAAAUCCAAAUUUAAUCAAUGGUUAUUGUUUCUAAAGAGAGAAGGGUGAGAGAGAGGAAAAAAAUGAAAGUUAUGUUAUGGUAAAAUUAAUCAAGAAAAUAAGAGUAAGGUCAUGUUCGUUUCUGGAAUUAAUGCAACAACACGAUGUUGUUUGUUUUUAUAGUUAGUAUUUGCAUUCAAAUGAAACAUUGGGAUGCUAAGUUGUUUGUCUUUUGAUUUUGUAAUAUUAUUCGAAUAUUAGUAGUUAAAAAGACUAAAUGGACAUUGUUUUUAUUCUUAAUAAUGAACAGAUAUAAUAUUCAAAUAAAUAUAUCUAAAAUUGUAGAAGUCUCCUUGGCCCAUAGGUUUGACUAAGGUUCAUCAAUGUUUCUACACCAUUAGGUAUUGAUUUCGAGUCCAAAAGAAGGCGGAAUAAUGAUGUAGAAUCAUUUGUAAUAUUUUUCAUAGUUUAUAAUAGAAUAAUUAUCCAGCAUUAAAACAAUAUCUAAUAUUAAUUUUACAUUUUUGGGGAAAAAUGAUUUUCUGGUAUUGGCGGAAAAAUGUUAUUCUCCGGAUUUGACGGAAUGAUUUUCUAGUUUUUUGGAAAAUGCGAUUUCCCUGAUUUUGGCGUAGAACGUAAUUUUUUGGUUUUGACAGAAAAUACGAUUCUCCGAUUCUGACAGAAAACGCGAUACACCGGUUUUUGUUUAAAGCAAGAUUUUUUUUGUUUUGACGAGAAAUCACUAUUUCUGGUUUGGCGAGAAAACACGGUUUUCUUGGUUUUGGCGGGAAACACGAUUUUCUGGUUUUGACAAGAAUUCAUGAUUUUUUGGUUUUUACAAGAAAUCACAAUUUUCUGGUUUUGGCAGAAAAAAUAAAAUUUACGGUUUUGGCAGAAAAAAAUACAAUUUUACGGUUUUGGCGGAAAACACGAUUUUCCAGUUUUAGUAGAAAACAUGAUUUAUUUUGUUUUGGCGGAAAACAUGAUAUUUUGUUUUGGCAGAAAACACAAUUUCCGGUUUUGGAGUGAAACACACAACUUUACGGUUUUGGCAGAAAAACAUGUUUUCUGGUUUUGUCGUGAAAAUGUGGUUUUCUAGUUUUGCGUGAAAAUGUGGUUUUCCUGUUUUGGCGUGAAAAGAAAAAUUUCUGAUUUUAACGGGAAAACAUAGUUGACUGGAAACCACGAUUUUCUAGUUUUGGUGGAAAAAAAAUUGUUUUCGAUUUUGGUGGAAACACGAUUUUACGAUUUUGGGAGAAAACAUAUUUUUAUGUUUUGACGAGAAAAACAUAGUUUUCUUUUUGGUGAGAAAAUGUGAUUUUACUAUUUUGGUGGGAAAAAUACAAUUUUAUGAUUUUUGGAUUUUGAGAUGUAAAUAUAGAAUCCAUAUUCUAUAUUUUUUAGCAUCUCAAAUAUUUAGAUUUUAUAGAUGAAAUAUUGUCCGUAGGAACAACAUAUGAAUAUUAUCAUCUAAAUGUAGCAUCUCGAUAAAGAAACGAACAUGGCCUAAAUAACAUACAUACAUGGGAUGCAUAUAAUUGUCUUAACUAGCUAGAUGAACUCUGAGAUGCUAGAAAACUAUGUAACUCCAGAGAACAUCCCAUUGAUCCAAUCUUUGGCCAUAAGUUAAAGAUAUCAUCGAGAUGAAUAUUGUUGGAGUUACACAAAUGGAAUGUACACUGUUAAGUCAGGCUACUGGUAGCAAAGAACUUGAUUAACAGAGAUAAGAUGGAGACACAUAUAGAACCAAGUAUCACAAAACUCCAAGCCUUUGUUUGGCAGAUACAAACUCCACCAAAAACCAGACAUCUUAUGUGGCAAAUGAUCUCUAGACAAUUAGCAGUGACAAACAACCUAAUACAUCAGACAACCAUUGUCCUAGAUGUGGUGUAGAUGAUGAAAUUUUAAACCAUGCCAUAUUUGAAUGUCUCCCAGCUUUACAGACAUUGGCACACACAACAACUCCAACUCCACCGUUGGUGUUCCCCAGUGCAAGCCACUACACAAAUAUGGACUAUCUAUUCUGGCGAAAGAACGAUAUUGAAGAUCCUGAGUUGGAUAAAUAUCGAUACCCUUGGAUUAUAUGGUACAUUUGGAAAGCAAAAAAUGAUAAAUUAUUCAUAGGGAUAGACAGUGACCCAUUGGAAAUGAUUCGACACGCUAAGUCAGAAUGCUAUGCUUGGUUUGAAGCUAACCGUAAUCAGGAAGAACCAACGGAAACACAAACUCUUGAACAAGUGACAAUAUCUGAGAGAUGCAUGAUAGAUGGAUCGUGAACACAUGACGCACUCUUUAGUGGUUAUGGAUGGACAUUGACAAAUUCUAGAGGAGUAGCUCAGUUAUUUGGUGCAAGGAACCAACGGCGAAGAAUCUCACCACUUCACUCGGAGCUCGAGGCCCUCUCAUGGGAAAUGGAGUGCUUGUUGCAGCUAUUGACGUGUUAAGCUUUUUGCACUGAUUUUAAGGAUCUAAUCUUGAUGAUUCAAGACCCCAGAGCAUGGUCUAACUUUUUCACUGAGCUAAAGGAGCCGAUGAAACUGAAGAAUAGAUUCACGAAGUUCUCGAUUGUUUUUAUUCCUCGUUCUGAAAAUGUACCAUUUGAUUCAUUAGCUAAGAUAACAAUAUUCUUUCAUAGGGACUUGUAUUACAUUGGUUGUUCUGAUCCGAUGUGGUCCCCUAGACCAUUUCAAAUUUAAAUGAUAGAAUAACCGUUUGAUGAAAAAAAAAAAAAAAAACUAGCCGGAUGAAAAUGGUGGUCGCUACUGUUAAACGAAUGCCUUCUUAUUUGAAUGAAUGACUUAUGGCUCGUUUGUUUGUUGAAACUUCACCACAUUGAAAAACAUAGAAAAUGAAAGAAAAUUCAUAGAAAGAUGACUUUUGAUUGCUCUGCAUUAUACAUGCAUUAUUUUACAAAACCGAACGCAAAUAAGCUGCCCUUUACAAUGUCAUUUGAUAUAAUACAAAACCACUAAGCAAUCAACUACACUUAAUACCUUUCCUUUUAGAAACAUGGAUUAUAAUUUUGUUGGGAGUGUAUGUGUAUGAUCAUACAUUAAACAAAAAGGAAAUAAAUAAAAUAUUGGAAAGGAAGUACAGUUGAUGAUAUAAAGUAACCAUGGUUAAAGCGAAGAACCUGAAAGGCUGAGAUAGAAGAAGCUGGAUUGACUAACCAUAGUUAAGGCUUCUCUGGUUAAAGAUGUUGGAAGCUUUCUCAUGUGCUUUGCUAUUUAUAAACAACAACUGGAAGAAGCUCCUUUUUCAUCCAUCUCUCACUUCUCAGAUUCCCAUCACUAUUUUCAACAGAAACUCAAAACUUUAUAAUAAAGAUUCAAUCUUUCGUUUAAUUGGUGAUCAUCGCCUCUCAUACUUGUCUCCAGGUUUGUAUGUUUUUGGAUUUGCCCCAAUUUUUAUUCUUCUUGUAUAUGUUCUACUUAACUUGCACAGCAAAAGGUUGAUGCUUUAUCAAAAGAUUCUUGAUUUUUUUUUUGUUUCUUGGUAUGAAAUAUAAUUGAAGGAUUAAGUCCUUGGCAUUUUACUUCCUUUUUUCCUUUCUUGAUGAUUCUUGAUAUUUAACUUUAAUUAGCUCAGUGUUUUGAUCAGAGUUGAAAAGACUUGAAAUUAGUCUUAUUUAGAGCCAAAUCUUGAAUCCUUCAGAUUUUCUUGAUUUAUUAUCAAUUAUCUCAGUGCUUUAGAGGAGCCAAAUAUUGUUUGAUUCACUGACAUAACUUUGAUUAAACUAGUCAUCGGUUAAACUUAUUGAGCAUAGGUUUGACAUGAAAGGGUUGGAGCAUAUGGAACCUCUCAGUGUAUGUUCUAAAGUGAACGGUUGAUAAGGCUUAACUUUAUAGAGUUGAACAAACAUGUUAAACUGUUCCAUUUCAUCAAUGCCCUGAGUUCGGUUUGAAGGAAGUUUUUGUAAAUUUUCAUAAAUAUGGAAUUUUCUUGGUGCUUCUCUGAGCAGAUUGUUGUGUUUGGUUAUACUUACUCUUCUUGUGACUACUAACUACUAUAAUAUAUGCCUACGGAGAUUUUCAUUGUGAUCUAUGUGGUUUGCUUGAAGUGUAUUAAAUCUUUAAUAUAUUCUCGAUUUAUUUUCAUUUGAGCCUUCUUUGUUAUGUACUAAUUAGCCCACGUUGUUGUUUUUCAGAUCACAUCUCUCUGAGAAGAACAAAGAUCUGAUCGGCUUCCGAGAAUUACAUAUUGUUUGAAACAUCCAAAAGAGUUGAAAGAUGGGUCUAUCAAGCCUUCCUGGUCCAUCAGAAGGAAUGCUAUGCGUGAUAUUAGUUAACACAGCAUUGUCAAUCUCCAUCUUCAAAGGCAUUCUCAGGUCAGUGCUUCAGCUAAUAGGAAUCCGCCUCUCUCCUUCUUCAGCAGCAGCAGCAGCUGCAUCUUCAGAGAAUCAAACUUCAGAUUCUUUUGAUUUCCGGGUCUGCCAGCCUGAGAGUUUCCUUGAGGAAUUCAGGAACAGGACCCCCACAGUGAAGUUUGAGAGCUUGUGCAAGUGCAAGAAACAGGCGGACAACGAGUGUUCUGUAUGCCUGUCGAAAUUCGAAGAGGAUUCAGAGAUCAACAAGCUAAAAUGUGGCCAUUUGUUUCACAAAACAUGCUUGGAGAAAUGGAUAGACUACUGGAACAUCACUUGCCCACUCUGUAGGACUCCUCUUGUUGUUGUCGCAGCAGACGACCAGCUGGUUUCCUAUAAUGUUUGGUGACUACUUUUCUUUGUAUAGAGUUUUCCUUGGGGUUGGGUGUGUUUGUUGUUGUGUACAGCUACUACUACUUUUUACUAUGAAAUUAGGCUGCGUCACGGUUGAUUCUUUAUCAGAUUCAGACCGGAGAUGGGGGUAUUCUGAUGUACAUAUUCUGUGAGCUGUUUAUGUAUGUAGACCCAUGUGUAAUGGAAGCUCUUGUUUGAACAUAGUCUUGAUGAAUCUAUCUAUGUGUGUGUAUUAAGAGAUCAGGCUUUGUCCAAAAAAAAAAAAAAGAGCUCAGGCUUACAAAAAGUUGUAUGGAUAAGGAAAAAUGUGUAUAGUUAAAGAAUGUGUGUACUUAUUUGACCAGUAAGUAUUUAAAGGUUUGUCUUACAAAACGGGAAAGAUAGGAGAUUCCUUAAGUAAUAUCAAAAUGGUAGCAUAUGAAGUAAACCCAUCACUCCAAAAUCUAGAAUAGAUUCAAUGUAACAUGGGAUAAGAGUGGCCUACACUCUUUUCACUUAUUUACAAUGCGUCACACCAGUUGAUUUAAGGGUUAAUGGGUGUUGUUAAGUAGCAAUUAAUGUUUAAUAAAUUAUGCUGGACUAAAGCUUAGUGGACUUUGCUAGCAAUGUCACCACUCUGUUUCAAACGUUGUGCCGUAUAUAUGCGAAACAAACCAGAACAUGUGAAAGUGUUGCGAAAUGAGACCAUCAUCUCCUGCUUUGUGAUUGCAACAACUUGGAAACGCAACGACAGAGUCUCAGUAUCCGAGGAUAUCCAACGCAAACACCAUCCAAUGCAGAUUCUAUCUCUUUCAUCAACUGUUUCGAGGCAACACCAUCAUCUCUUUCUGUUCCUGAAACUUCGCCAGGAAUUAUGUCGCCGGGAUACAUCCCACUGUUACAAUAGAGAAAAAACACAAACAGUUUCCCUAUCCAAAGUCUUUUAUGUACAAAGAUGAUAGUUAGUUACUGAGCAUGACCGUAAUCUACUUACUGGGUCAAGCAUGCCAUAUCGAGAGUUAUGAUUGCUUUUCUCAAGCUUUUGCAAUCAACAAAGCUAAUUUGCAAAUAAAGCUGCUCUGCUGCAAUCAACAAAACACUCGAACUAGUCAUUAAAGGAUUUCUGAAAUUUACCACUAUUGUCAUACUAGCUAGCCUAGAACCACUAAAAGGAAAAUUAAGAGGAAAAAUCGAUCACCUGAUGGAGAUUCAAAUUGUCCUUGGACCAAAUUAGGUAUCUCCAUUCUAGCUAACUGUAAUUCCUCCGCCACAUUUAGCAGAUUAUGUACGACCAGGCUAGUUUUCUGCAUGUUCAGAUCAAAAUGAGACAAAAAAAAAGCACACAAAAAAGUAAUUUCUAAACAGUGAUUCUUCUAGAGGAACUUACAAACACUAAAGAGAAAGCAAACAUGACUUGACAGUAACAAAAAUAGCUCAUCAACAUUAGAAAAUUACCUAAUAUGCUAUCAUAGUAUUACGAGAGCAAUAACAGCAAAACUAGAACACAUACUCACCUGUGUAAUCUCCAACAACGUACUGGUACCAACAUACUCCCGGGAGUAUUCAGCAUUAAACAAGGAGUUAAACGCAGUUGAAACAUUCAUGUCUGGUAGAUGCUGAAGAACAAUACCUUGAUUAGAAACGAAAGAAAGAUGUGUUUAAUGAAAGGAAAAGAAGUUCGUUACUCUUACCUUGAUGAAUGCAUCACUCAAAUUGUUUGAAAUUAUUACACAUGAAGCAUGUCCAGGCUUUAAUGUGAGCCUGUAUAUCCAAGAAAAUUUCCAAAAAAAAUCCCAUAUCGUUCAUUAUAUACGAAACAUAUUCCUUAUAAAUAUUAUUGAAAGAUAUACAAAAUAGGACCAACCUUUGGUGAAUCAAGCCACCAUAAUUUAGAACAAUGCUCUGACAAUCAUUCUUUUCUCCUAAACUGUCAACUUUCCAGACCUGCCAACAGCACAAGAGUUACUCACAUAGCAAACAAGAAUACUUGCUUAAGAUCUCCAUGUCUACAGAAAUAACUUAUUUCAAAUAAGACAGUAGUUACCAGAAUAUCCUGACGUAUAAGCCUGCAACUCAUUUUCUUUUUCAAUUCAUCUUCAGCAAUCAUAACAGCGUUUGUAUAUGCAGGUUCUCCUGUUAUCUUGUCGCACGUAGGAAAACAUUUGAUCAAGGUCUUGAUUUUUGAGUUCAAUUCUUCGAUCUCCUGUGUUUUCUCUGCUACCUUGCUAGUAGUAGCCUAGAUAAAUGUUAAUAGAUAAGUGUAAGUACAAAUAAUAGAAGUAAUAGCAUCCAUCUCUUAUCUACAAAAGUAUCAUGAAACCCCGGGGGCGAUACAUUACAUCUGAGAUGUAAACAAAUACAGCUUUUCUACCAGUAGCAUGAAAACUCAUCUUUCUUAAAAAAAAAAUUCCAUGUCUACCAAAAACCAUUGUGAAAGAGUUAAGGCGUCUUACUUAUAAACACUGUCAGGACCAGACAAACCAACAUAUUCCCCUAAUGUGUAUUCCAAAGUCGUAUAAUUACCUCAUGUGGUUGAACAGGAGUUAACAAGCCAGUAGAAUUGGAACCAUGUUGACGUAAAAGCUUGGCACAAUUCAACCUCAAUGUUUCAGAUGUUUGUAGACCAGUGGUAACUACUUGAGACUUUUUCUGCAUGGAAAAGUGAUACAGGUCAAGCAAGGAGAAUCAACAGAGAUUUUAAAACGAGGAACAAAGUAAUUACCAUCAUUAUCUCUUGCUUGAGGUGCAACAACUCAAGUUUGGCUUUUUCAUAUGCUAACUUACAGAGUAACGAUCUACUCUCAGCACGUCUGAAAUAGUACACACAAUGAAUGUUACACGCUUGACACUAUUUUAUUCUGAAGAAUAUAUAAAGGCAGUACUGGGAGAACCUCUUUGUCUUAGCAUCAGUCAAGUCGUCACAUACUUUCUACAAUUAGAACAAGAUCAUCAGUUUACAUAUAUGUAGGGUACAUACAUGAUAGCAAAGUGUUUUGUUUUAGGCGGACCUGGGAUUUAAUUUGAAGACAAAGCAUCUCACACAAAUGAACCUUCUUCAAGUAUGUUAACAUAUCUUCCAGCUUGCAUACCUACAAUUUUGGAACAUUAGUUCUCAAACUACAAAAGCUGAAAGGAGGACAAUCUCACUAACAGAGAGAAAUAAUACCUGUCUUGAGUUCAGCUUAUUGGCCAAUGGUGCAAACAUUUGAUUAAUUUCUUCUGAUACCUUUCCUGGAAUCUGCGAGGUAGUGGAAACAGUAACAUAACUGUAUGAAAAAGUGGAACUAACAUUCAUUAAUAUACCAGGUUAUCAACAGUACUUACUUCUACCCAGUUUACUUGUUCAAGAACUACGCGGCAGUUGCGAACAUCGUCUCCAUCAGGGUGGUCCAUCACUGGAUUUGAAAUAUCCUGUGUGCUUUGCCUGACUUUGGGGCUACAACUUUUGGCAGCAGGAUCAACAUCUCUGGCUUUCCUUUUCAAUCUGGAUGGCCCCUGCAAAUUUUCAAAAAUGUUGCUCAACAUUAGUUGUAUCAUUUCUUAAAUGCACAGCUCAAUGUCUUUGAUGGGAUCUGAGUCCAAAUAUUCAAUCUGAAUGCUCUCGUUCAGCUGUCGGUGUAUAAAGGCCAAUGUGAAGAUUUACUACAGUCUCAGAGUCAGAGAUCACAAGAUCUAUUCCCUUCAGAAACGGUUAUGUAAUCCAUUUGCCCCAUGGACAGAUAGUUCUUCAAAAUUUAUGGGUCUAGAAAUAUACCUUAGCAUGUGAAGCCUCAUUCCUACUUCUGUCCAAAGGUGAAGAACCAGCUGUACCAGGACGGUCUUGUGUCACUAGAACAGGACAAUCUUCAGUUUCACAAUGGGCAGCCCUGAUGUUGUUGGUUCCUUUUUUAUUUUUGUUCAGCACGCUGUCUUCGUCGUUUUGUUGAGCAGAGCCGUUCAAGAAGCCUGUCUCGCUGAGUAUAGCAGAAGAUUCUACAAGCAGGGAAUCCAUAUGGUCAGAUAACGUAUUCAGAGAAGGAUUACUAACAGAAUCCUUGGCCAAGCGUCCAUCUUCAGUCUCAGAAUUGCCGAUGGCUUUGCUUUUCUGCUCUUGAUCUUGAAGAGUAACACAAUUGUUCAAUGCUGAGGUAGUCGCAUCUGACGAUUUUGCUAGAGAUGACACAAACUUAUCAGGGGUGCUGGCUGUCUGAUUUCUUUCCUGUUCUUUCAAGAGUGAACCCUCAAUCUUAGAAUUAGAGUUUCCUUCUGGAUUUAAGAAUGUAAACACAUCGCUACUGUCAACAACAGGGCUCAAUAAACUUGGUCUUUCAGUGAACCAAAUGGUCUCUAACUGAAAUUAAAACAAGCAGAGCACAUUUCAAUAAUCAAGCUGAGUCUCUUACGAGCAUGUAAUGAACAAACACAUGAAAAUUACAGAAUGAUGAAAACAAAUCAGACAAGCUAAAACAAUACCUUGCAAACGUUGGGACAUAGUUUUGGCAGAGUCAUCCCUCUUGGAUUUCUGCAACACACAUAACUAAAGAAAUGAACUUUAACUUCAAAUCAAACCAUAUAAAGCAUAAAACUUUACUUCGCCUUAUCAAUGACCACUUUCUUACGAACAAGCUUCCUGUAACAAGAACAAAAAAAAAACACAGAGAGAAUGAGAGACAUAGAGUGAGAGACAGAGAAGUGAUCAGUCGUGGUUAUGACGAGCGUGACGGUGGUGGUGGCGACUCCAGUGAAGACGGAUCUGAGAAGCUCUUGGAUUUCUCAAUUCUCUGAGAAAGAGCAGAAGCAGGGGACGGUGGAAUCAAUCCAAGUCUGGAUUUGCUUUUCUGGAUGGUUGACAGGCUCUCAACUAGUGCGAGAGUUUCCCUGCUCAUAAAGCUUCCACCUUGUUGAGGAGAAGGCGUAACACAAGAUAAAGACUGCUGCAUUCUACCAACAAAAUACGCACUUUCCCUUCCUGAUUCCUGCAGCUCCAUUUGAGGGUGAAUGCCAGAACCACAAGGUGACAGCAUUUGACAAGCAUCAGUGCUAUUUAUACCCACAGGAAUGCUUCCAUAUUGAGGGAACAGGGAGAAUUCAGGAACUGGAGAUCUUGCUUCAACACUAUUGUCUUGAGAUGCAGGAACCGGUUCCCUGCUCUCAUCUCCCAGCAGAGCUGCUAAGGCAGGAGUUAUACGCCCGUAAUCAUAUUUUCGAGAAUCAUCACCUACGAGACUCAUGUCAUUCGAAUCUCCACCACCACUUCCUUUGUCAACCGGCACAGGGGAUUUAGGGAACAGCUUCUUAGGGUAGGUUAACACCAUUGCACUCCCUGUAUCAUCAGAUCUAAAGGUAACCUGAGUUGGUGUUUUCUCUUCUACUUGUACUGGAACAUGAUGACUGCUGGUGGGUGUCCUCAAGUCUCCAAGACUCCGGAAAUGCAUUGAAAACGCUGUGGAGUCCAUCGUCAUAUCAUGGUGUUCUUCAGAGAUCGUAGCGUCUGAGAGUCUCCCAGGGUUGAUAAAAUGGGAAGACACGGGGCCGAAGAAACUGUCCUCUGAUUCGGAGAAAACAAAAUCGAUUUCAAGAUUCAUAUUUCUAAAGUAAAAUUAAAAAUCAAAGGAAGCUUUACCGUCAUCAGUUGUAGCAGAACCAAUAGUGCUACCACCUGAAGAAGGCGAACUUUUGGGCCUCAGGAACAGUUUCUCCACAGGUUCGUCUCCUUCAGUGUCUUCGCUAUCAGCAGCUAAUUCACCGAAAAACCUAAUUACUUUGUCCUCAGACUCUGAUGUCUCACCGUUUCGGGGCUUCGAGGCGGGCGGACUGGGCGGCGUCUCGUAAUCUUCGUCGCGCUUGAAAAUGUGGACGGAAGUAAUCUCCCGGUCGGCGAAGCUCACUCGCCGGAGCCGCUUUCUCCGCUGAGCUAUAGUCUCGUCGUCUGUGCCGGCAGUGUUGUUCAUCGGGUCUUCGGGCUUUUCCGACGCCAUGUGGGUGGGUUGAGAGGAUUUGGGGGACUUUUCGAAUUUUAGGGUUUGGAAUAUUGCAUUAUUGGAAAUUAUAAUGUGCGGGAAAUGCAUACGUUUUUUUAAGUUAAAAUCAUUUCUUCACUUUCCUAGCUUAAACCAAUAGCUGAGCGAGCAUAUACCAUUUUUUUUAAUUAGGCAAUCAAUUGUAACAGGUGCCCAGAUGCGGAUUUCGGUAAAAGUUUUCGAAACCGCAUAAGGUCACCAAUCAGCUAUUUCUCACUUUUUAUUUGUAUUACCAAAAACCGAAAAAUUAUCCAGAUGUAUUUUUCAAAAAUGUGAAUUAAUACACAAAAAGUUUUUAUUAAAGGCCUGAUGGUAACGGUUUUGACGGUACGCAGUUAAACAUUCAAAUGGUAACUAUAGUUUUGAUAAAGUGCAGUACCGUUUAUCUGCGGUUUGAUAGAAAAAAUAACGUGGUACUGAGUUUUGAAUGGUAACGGCACAUUGAGGUAUAUGGACAAUCGGAUUAGAUAAUGCAUUACACUUUAACCGCGGUUAGUAUAAAGAAAAUACAUACCGUGGAAAAACUUCGAUUCAUCUAAAGAAGUGGUUAAAAUAAUAUAAAUAUUGACAUGUAUAAUGAUCAGUGUAAGUGUAAGAUACAUAUAAUAUAUUUAUAUUUUACAAACUAAAAAUUAGUGAUACUAAUAUAAUUUAAAAAGGAGAAAAUGACUAGAAUAGCACUAAAAAAGUUUUUGUCAUAAAUAUAGCUUUUAAGAAUAAAAAUGACCAAAAUAGCACUUGAUGUUUUAUCAAAAGAGAUAAAUAUAUAUUUAUACCCCAAUGAUAAAUUAAUUUAGACAUUAGGAUUUAGAGUUAAGGGGUGGAGUUUAGGAUUUAGGAUUUAGGAUUUAGGGUUUAGGGUUUAGGGUUUAGGGUUUAGAGUUUAGAGUUUAGAUUUUAGAGUUUAGGGGUGAGGUUUAGGGUUUAGGGUUUAGAGUUAAGGGGUGGAGUUUAGGAUUUAGGGUUUAGGGUUUAGGAUUUAGGGUUUAGAAUUUAGCGUUUAGGGUUUAGAGUUGGGGAGUGGAGUUUUGAGAUAAGAUUUCAAAUUUUGAAAAAUAAAAAAAAUUUAAAUUUUUCAAAAGAUAAAAUACUAUUUUGAUCAUUUUAGUUUUUGAAGGCUAUUUUUGUGACAUAAACUUAGAAAUG
rnacentral:lncRNA from 1 species